UCAGGAAAAAAAAGGAAAAUAAUGUUAUUUGCAUUGAAUGAACAAAUGAUUAGCAUAGUAGCAAAACUACUUAAAAUAAGAGAAAUUAGAAACCAAAAAGCAGCACAGCAUGAGUCUGGGCAUUGCAUGUUGGAUGAUCGAAACAGAGGUCUUGAGUGCGAAUCUAGAUCCUGAAAUACGCAGGCCUGCAAAAAGUCAUUCGAAGAAGUGUGCAAAACUCCCAUCAUUCAGCUUUCUUUCUGCUUCCCGCUCAGCAGGAUUACUAUGUACUGAGACAGAUAGGAAACUUAUCCCGGUGAGUUUUUAUUCCGGGAUGUCAAGGGCACAAUGCGCAGCUUAGUGAAUCUCCAUCAUCUUUGCCACAGGUGUAAGUUAUGAAGAUAGUUGCUAGAUGGAGGAUUUUCACACUAGUGAUUAAGCAUCUGUUUCAAGCCAGAAUCAUCAUUAAAUCACAGAUUUGCUUUACAAGCAAUAACUAGAGGGAUUUCAUAUUACAAGUAGAGUCUUUAUAACCUACUGAAUCGCUUAUUUACGAAGACAGAAGAAUAGGAGAGCUCACGUUUUGUUUUUACUGCACAAAUACUGCAUAUGGAAUCUGAGUGAGAAGUUACUCCCUAAAAAUUUCAAAAGUGUUUUUGAGAGGUACCUUUGAGCGAAUCUUCUGGCAACAGACUCAAAGAAGUCAUCCAAUAAGUAGAAAUUCUUCUAUGGAAGGCCACACACAUUAAUAGCAGUUCUUUCAAGGCGAAUUAUGCCAAGCCAAUCAAGGAAUUGCUGCCAUGGCAUGUAGUUGUGGUUUCUUAAUGUGUUCGAGUAACUUCUGCACAAGGAAUCAAAUUAAUCUUUAAAUCCGUGAAAUUAAAAGGGAUGCAGAAUUACAAAACUAAUAAUAAGAACAAUAAUAAUAAGAUGGAUAGAAGCAUGACCUGCCAAUGCAUGAUUUCGGCAAGCCUUUGCUUUGGUUCACCACUUCCCAAUGUAGUAAGAAUUUCAACAGCAUCCCAGAAUUUCAAUAGCAUCCCAAUGAUAACUCAUACUUGAUGAGCCUUGAUGGAGAAAUGAAAGUCCAGUUAAAAUUAUUCAAAAUGCAUAUCCACUCGCCAAGAACAUAUGCACCCAGAAAUCUCCUUAAAUAAAUAAGGUUUUAACAAGGUGAAUGCUUUGCUUUUUCUUUUUUUGGGAAGAACUUCAAAGUAAACAAAGGUAAGACUAUUGGGUUUUGAUGUUUACCUUGUGUGGGAGAAAUGUGAUGUUUACCCAGAAAUCACAUUUUGUUUUCAGAAUAAAUGGUUUUUUCCACCUCUGCAUUUGACAUUGAAAAAACUUGAAUAAAUACCAAAUAAUUAAGAUAUGCUGCUGAUUUAAUUUACAAAGGAAUGGCGCAUGUGAAGAGAAAUUGACAUAUGACAAUCACCUUCAGCACAAUCAAUUCUCAUCCUAAUUUAGAAGACUAAUCAAACUAAUUGCAGCAAUAACAUCUUUUCCACGAAGUCUACUAACUUCUGCACAUAGAGUCAAAAUUAAUCCGUUAUAUCCAUGAAAAGAAUGAAGGCAGAAUUACAUUAAAAAAUGAAUAAAAAUGACGGUUAAAAGAAAGACCUGCCAAUGCAUUUAAAAUCUCUUUGAAUUUGUUUCCCACAUCCCAAUUUAUUAGAAUUUCAGGUGAGUAAAAAACAAAUAAAUGAUUCCUCUAGCUUGAUGAGCCUGUACAUGUGGGAAAAAAGUGUUAAAAUAUUAUCAUAAAGCAAAUAAAUUCUCAAUUAUACAAAAAAUAAAAGAAAGAAAAGGUACUCUGUAUAUUGAUCUUGAUUGUAAAGAAAUAAUGACAAAAGGUACUCUGUAUAUUGAUCUUGAUUGUAAAGAAAUAAUGACAAAAGGAUACUUACGAACUCAAAGGUAAUACACUGCUCAUUUUGGAAGAAACACAUCCAACACUUCAAAACUUAUCCUUCAUUGAUCUGUGUAAAUAGAAUCAUAGAGUGAAGAUUUUCUCAUGUAAGUUUAAUUUGCAAAUUGGAGAGAAAAAGGACCAACUUACCGAAGCUUCAUCAUCCAGUAGAUAGCGGCCCUCUCUUUGAAUUCUUUGGUCAUCAACUUCAAUAUUUGGGAUGUGAGAAAUGAAAGCCCAAUCCGCACCCUUUCUAUUUCCACAUCUUUCCUUCAAUUGGGGACGGUCAUUGAUAUUCAAUUCUCGUAACGAGGUGAGGGAACGCAUCUCUUGAGGCAGACACUUUAUUGCCGGACAAAUCUGAAUGGUUAGUCUUUGAAGACAAGUGAGAUUCCACAGUCCAUCUGGAGGUAGAGAUUCCAGCUCUUCAAUGUCCGUAAUCUGAAGGAUCUUCAAUUUAGAGAGAGGAGGAAUGAUUGAGGAAGAAGAAGAGAUUGAUGGUGUGAAUAUUUGGUGCACAAGUUGUGGGCUUGCGCAGUGCAAAUAUAGUGAAUGAUCGAGAGAUGGAAACUGAGGGAUGGAGUUCAAAUUAGGGCAGUCCCUACAAACGAAAUACGAAAGACAAGGAAAUUGGAGUAGCUCAAGAGCUGUCGAAUCAUCCUUCUUCUUCUGCAAUCCUUUAAGCUUAGGACAACCAUAUAGCACGAGAACCCUUAGGGAUGGAAAGAAUGAUGUUGCUUGUCCCUCAAUCUCAAUGUACUCUAAAUCAUCUACUUCACGAAUAUGUAGAUAUUGAAGAGAAGGGAUUUGAUCCAUUGGUGGGAGAUGCUGAUAUCUAUUGCAAUUCCGUAUACAGAGAUAGACAAGAUUCGUGAGGGAAGAGAACCAACUUGGGAACCUCCUGCCUCCAUUGCCAAGCACACGUAACUCUUUAAGAUUGGGAUGCGGUUGGAGAUUUUGGAAUGCCAUUUCAUCUCUAUCAACAUUUGAAUCUUCCCAACUCUCCUCGCAACGUAAUUCCAAUGAUUGAAGGACUGGUUUCUCUUUCAUAUUAACAUUUACAAUCUCAUUAUCCACACAACCCAGAUUUAUAAUUUCAAGACGUCCCCUCAAAUUCUUAAGCUUAUUCAGUUCAUUUAUUUUUUCAACAUCCUUUGAGGAAAUAUGCCCUUUUGCCACUACGAACAGCGACAACGUCUGAAGUGAAGUCAACUGCCCAAGCCCACGUGGCAUAUGAGUCAAAGAGUAACAACCUUCACAAUAUAAAUGCCUAAGAUUUACAAGCUUUUUAAUAUCUUUAGGCAAUUCUUUGAGCUGGACACAGUAAGAGACAUCUAAUACUUGUAAAUUCAGCAAAUCGGUAAUAGAAUGUGAAAGUGCUUUAAGUCCCUUGUUAUCGGAACGUCAAGAUAUCUUAUAUAUUUUAGCAUUUUUAAAGAAUUAUCCAUCGUUGUAUAUGAAUGCAUCAUAAAUACACGUAAAAAUUUUAAAUUUUUAUAAAUAAAUAGUUGAUCGCAAUCAUAUUUCUCAAGCAAAAGAAGCGAUCGUACUCUUUUUGCGUUAUUAAGAAUUUCUUUUGAUGCAACAUCCAAAUUCAAUGCUACAUGAUGGAUUUUCUCAUUAAUAUUUAGUAUAUCAGAAUUUACUAGCUGAAUCCUCUUCCCACCCACUGUGGUUGCGAGAUCGUGCAUUAAAUCAUGCAUUUUACAGCUCUCUACAUUUCCAUAUCUAUCUCUUUCCACUUCUUGAAAAAAUGACCUCCACCACAGUUUCAUAAAAUAUUCAAGCCUAAUAUCUUCAAGAUAAUCACUCGUACUUGGUGACUCAAUAAACCCUUGUGCAAUCCAAAGAUGGAUUAAUCUUUUCACAUCAAUCACAUAAUCUUUUGGAUAUAUUGCGCAAUAUGCAAAACAAUGCUUCAAAUGUGAUGGGAGAUGAUCAUAACUUAGCUUCAGUGUUGGCAUAAUAUCAUUACCAUCUUGACUUAUUCUUGAGAGUUCUUUUGUUAAAAAGGGCAGCCACUCAGUUUCUGGAUUUUUCGCAUACAAGAGACUUGCGAUGGUUUUUAUUGCAAGAGGAACUCUAUGACAUUUCUUCAAAAUCUCCUUUCCCAUCUCUCUUACAUUUGCAUGUUUUGGCUCCUGCCCCUCAAGUGCUACAUGCAAAAACAAAGACCAAGACUCAUCCGGAGACAACCCUUCCAAAACAUGUGGUGCCAUUGUGCUAGAUAUAUCUGCCACCUUUUUAGAGCGAGUGGUUAUUAAUAUCUUACUUCCACUAGAGCCACCCACUAAUAAUCUCUUUAAAUUCUCCCAUUUUUCUCUAUUCUCAUUCCACACAUCAUCUAGAACAAGCAGAUAUUUCUUCCCACUAAUAAUUUUUUCCAGUCUAGACUUCAAUGCUUCUAACCCAAGAUCUUCCGGUCUAUUCCCUGUUGCAGACUCUAGAAUCUUUCCAACAGUCAUUUUCACAUCAAAAGGUUCUGAAACACACACCCAUAUUCUUGGCUCAAAUGAAUUCUUAAUCAAUUCAUCAUUGAAUAUGAUUUGAGCAAGAGUGGUCUUCCCUAAUCCUCCAAUUCCAACAAUUGAGAGGACUGAAACACACUCUUCACCAUUGGAAGACAAUACAAGUUCUGUAAUUGCCUUUUUGUCACCCUCUCUCCCAAUAACCACUUCAGGUAAAGAGGACGUAGUUUGAUCCCUCCAUACAAUACUCUCCUGAUCCGUACGAAACUCUAAAUUAAAUUUUCUGUCAGCUUCAAUAUCAGCUAGCCUCUCCCUAAUCUCCUUAACUUUAUGACCCAUUUUAAAACCAUAAACAAGUUGAUUUGAAGACGAAAAGAAGAGACUUACCUCCUUUGUCAUUCUAUUUCCAGUCAUCACUCGGCGCCUUAGAGCUUCUGUGGCGAAGUCAUCUACCAAGUCAUCAGCAUCAUAAACAACUUCUUCUAGCCUCUCAAGCCAGCCUUUCACUUGACGGUUAAGUUUCUGCUGCUCCUCAGCAUCCAGAAGAACGUUGCGAAUACUAGAAACUGUGGCCUCAAGUUUCUUAAGCUCACCUUUGACGCCCCACCACAAUCCGAUCUCAUGAAGGGCUCGAGAACCCAGCUUGGUAAUGAUAUCUCCGACAACGUUAGAGAGAACUCCGUCGGCCAUUUUGGGCGUUUUGGUUUGAUUGUAAAAGGAUGAAAUGUUGCUGUGAAGAAGAAGACGGUGACAACAAAUGACUGAUUUAAAGAAAAAAAAAGAAGUGGAGGAAAAAGCAUUCUUCUAAAUGAUUAUCUUCGGUCGGUCAACUUUGAACGGCGCUGGUUUGCUUUUUAAAUAAUAUAUUAAUACAUUUAUAUAUAUACAGAUGGAAAGAAAGUUAUUUUUUAAAAAAUAAUUUUAUUUUUUAUUAGAAAUGCAUUUUUUUUAAUUAAAUUUGAUGAGUGAUUCAAAUAUUAAAAAAUAUAAAAUAUAUAUAUACAGAUGGAAAGAAAGUUAUUUUUUAAAAAAUAAUUUAAUUUUUAAUAGAAAUGUAUUUUUUUUAAUUAAAUUUGAUGAGUGAUUCAAUUAUUAAAAAAUAUAAAAUAUAUUUUCGAUAUUGCUGAGAUUAAAUUGAUGUUGUAGUCGGAAUGAAACUGUACUAUAAUUGGUUAGAAUUUAUAAGAGAGGAAAUAUGAGAUAGUGGUGGGUACCUAUAGCAGCAAGGCAGUGAUGAGUACCUAUGACAGCUACUGUGACGCUAAAGUCAGUAUUUUGAAAAAUAGAAAAAAUUUAAUGAAUAACUUAGAGUUUGAGUAGUAUCAUAGAUAAUGUACCUUUAUCUUCGUAAUCGUUCUCCUUUUAUACUAUGAGAAAAUGUAUAUAAAUAUAUCAUGAAACAACAGGGCCUAAACUGGUCCAAAUAACUUUUGGACUCACUUUUCACUUGACCCAAAAUGGUUAAUUCAGGUUAUUUAGUAGUUUCGUGCUAGCUAUUAUAUACAAUUCCAAAAUCUCCCGAUGUGGGACAGCUUUCGCAGCGGAAGCGAACAGCUGACCAUUACACUCGAUCCCGCUAAAUUUGCGACGUCCUCGUCGCAGUUGAAUUGGAUACAAUUGCUAAUUAGGACCGAACCCUUAGGUAUUGUGGUUCGCUAGUACGUCGGGCGGCUCCACCUCGUCUCACACGGGUAGCUCUUUCCUUACAGGCUCACUAGCUCUACAUAAUUUGUUUGAUCUAGAGUGGCUCUAAUACCAAUUGAAACAGUCAGGUCCAAACUUGCUCAAAUAACUUUUGGACCCACUUUCUACUUUGCCCAAAAUAGUUAAUCUAAGUUAUUUAGUAGUUUUGUGCUACCUAUUAUAUACAAUUCCGAUUUUCUAUAAUCUCCCGGUGUGGGACGGCUUCCGCAGUGGAAGCAGGUAGCUGACCGUUGCACUUGGUCCCGCUAAAUUUGCGACGUCCUCGUCGCAACUGAAUCGGAUACAAUUGCUAACCAGGAUCGAACCCUUAGGUAUUGUAGUUCGCUAGUACCUCGAGCGGCUCCACCUCGUCUCACACGGGUAGCCCUUUCCUCGUAGGCCCACUAGCACAAUUUGUAUCUAGGGUGGCUCUAAUACCAAUUGAAACAGUCGGGUCCAAACUGGCCCAAAUAACUUUUGGACCCACUUUCCACUUGUCCCAAAAUGGUUAACUCAAGUUAUUUAAUAGUUUCGUGCUAACUAUUAUAUACAAUUUCGAUUUUCUAUAAUCUCCCAAUGUGGGACAGCUUCCGCAGCGGAAACAGGUAGCUGAUCGUUAUAAUCGGUCUCGCUAAAUUUGCGAUGUCCUCGUCGCAACUGAAUUUGAUACAAUUGCUAACCAAGACCGAACCUUUAGGUACUGUGGUUCGCUAGUACCUCUGGCGGCUCCACCUCAUCUAACACGGGUAGCUCUUUCCUCGCAGGCCCACUAGCUCUGCACAAUUUGUCUAACUCAGGGUGGCUCUGAUACCAAUUAAAAUAGUCGGGCCUAACCUGCCCCCAAAGGUUUGACUUUUGAAUCUGUGAGCGGACUUUAGGCCGUCGAACCUGCUGCCGAAAGUGCCCUGUCCAGCCUUUUUCAGCUUGCUUCCUACGUGUGUUCUUCUAUGUUCUUAGGGGGUAGUUUUAAGUGUUGUAAAAGUUAUAUUUGGUUCCUCAUUUAAGUCCAUCUGUGUAGGAUCGGACUUGGAAGAUCGUAGAAACUUGCAGUAAGAUAACUGUAUCAAAAUUAGGCGUGCGUCAGCCAGAGGUGAGUAGAACUAAACUCAAUUAUUAUUUUAAAAAAACCAAAUGUUUUAAGCAUACUUAUGCAUCACAAAUGCUAUGUAUAUAUAUGAUUAUGGUGCUUUGCAUUAGAAUUCACGAAUAUAAUGCAUUGCAUAAUUUAUUAUUGUUGUUGAUGUAUGUUAGAUGACCUUCUAGCCCUCAAGUAUGUUAUGGUAUGUUAUGACGGAUAUGGAAAGAGCAGGACUUGCUCAUUCUACGCCCUUGGCACUGUGUAAGGGAAAGACCAGGGUUACACAUUUUAUAUCCGUGGCACUAUGGAUAUGUUAUUUUAUGUUUAAGAGGAAAUUCUGAAAAGCGCUUGUCGUGGGCUGGGCACUAUUGGAAUCUAUAGAGAGUCACUGGUGACAAGUCUAUCUUGAUAUGAAUUGUUUGUGUUGUGACACAUUUAUACGAUCAUAUGUCUUAUUAAACUGCUUUUGUUAUGUUUCUGCUCACUAGCCUCUUAUAGUUUAUCCCUUUUCCCUAACUCCAGAUUUGCAGGAUCAGAAUUAGCUCGAGAGGUGGGCCGAGGUGUUGGUAUAGUCCAUUGUAAUAACAUAGUUGUGGACAUGUAUUAAUUUGUGAAUUUGAAUUGUGUUUUGCGUGAGUUUUCUUUAUAAUCCUUAUUUUAUGAUUUUUUUAUGUAAAAGAUUUUAAGUCUAAAUUAUGUUUGAACUAAGCUUGAGGUGUGUAAUAUUGACUAUACUAAAACAUUUGAUGAGAGCUCUAGUAUGAAUUUAUGUUUCCAGUUCUGAUACAUGCGCAGGUCAAGUUUUUGUUAUUGAAAUAGAAGUGUUUUUACAUGUUUGUGUGAUUAUGUAUGGAUCUAUAUCAAAUGUAACAGGAUGUAUAGUAAAUUUGCUAUGAGUUCCGGCAACCUUAGAUUGAUCUGAACCGUAGUGCCGAUAGCGGUCUGAGUUGCAGAUGUGGCUCCGAAUUGAAUUAUUUAACAAAGUAUGGGGUAUCAAAGGAAAAAAGUGAAAACUUUGGGUAUUGACUUCAUUCCUUUGGAGGUUAGUCUGAAGGACACUAUUGAAAGCUUGAAGGAUAAGGGCUUCCUCAGCAUUUAAUAUUGGCUGUUGGAUAAAAAGCAAUGCAAAUAUUACAUUGGCUUUUCAGGUUCAUUGGCUUUAGCUUCCUAUUGGUGCAAGAUAUUAUUACCCUUCAGGAUUGUCUUUAUUUGAAAAAAGUGGACCAAUACAAUUUGUAAAAUACAUAACAAUUUGUAUACAACUGUAUAUAAACAUAUUACAUGUGUCACUUGUUUCACUGGUGGAUGAAGUUCAUUUCAGGUCUGAUUUCUGAGGAAGUUACUCUUUUUUUUAUCUGAUUUCAGGUCUCAUUCCAAAGAAUAAGACACAAGAAAAAGAAAAUGUGUAAUCCACCAAUUCAGAUUUAGUUCAGUCUUUUCAAAGUAUAUUCAGAUUUCAUAGCCAACUCAUUUUAUGCUGUAUCUGAUUUCUGGUUCUUGUGAUAUGCUCUUACAAAAUUCAUCUAAAAUUCAGUGCUCUUACACAUUCUGGAAACAACAAUUUAUACAAAAACUGAUUUCUCAGGGAAAAAAAGGAAAAUAAUGUUAUUUGCAUUGAAUGAACAAAUGAUUAGCAUAGUAGCAAAACUACUUAAAAUAAGAGAAAUUAGAAACAAAAAAGCAGCACAGCAUGAGUCUGGGCAUUGCAUGUUGGAUGAUCGAAACAGAGGUGUUGAGUGAGAAUCUAGAUCCUGAAAUACGCGGGCCUGCAAAAAGUCAUUCGAAGAAGUGUGCAAAACUCCCAUCAUUCAGCUUUCAUUUCUGCUUCCGGCUUAGCAGGAUUACUAUGUACUGAGUUGUUUUCUGAACUGUGACAGAUAGGAAACUUAUCCCGGUGAGAUUUUAUUCCGGAAUGUCAAGGGCACAAUGCGUAGCUUAGUGAAUCUCCAUCAUCUUUGCCGCAGGUGUAAGUUAUGAAGAUAAUUGCUAGAUGGAGGAUUUUCACACUAGUAAUUUAGCAUCUGUUUCAAGCCAGAAUCAUCAUUAAAUCACAGAUUUGCUUUACAAGCAAUAACUAGGGGGAUUUCAUAUUACAAGUAGUCUUUAUAACUUACUGAAUCGCUUAUUUUUGAAGACAGAGGAUGAGGAGAGCUCACGUUUUGUUUUUACUGCACAAAUACUGCAUAUGGAAUCUGAGUGAGGAGUUACUCUCUAAAAAUUUCAAAAGUGUUUUUGAGAGGUACCUUUGCGUGAAUCUUCUGGCAACAGACUCAAAGUAGUCAUCCAAUAAGUAGAAAUUCUUCUAUGGAAGGCCACACACAUUAAUAGCAGUUCUUUCAAGGCGAAUUAUGCCAAGCCAAUCAAGGAAUUGCUGCCAUGGCAUGUAGUUGUGGUUUCUUAAUGUGUUCGAGUAACUUCUGCACAAGGAAUCAAAUUAAUCUUUAAAUCCGUGAAAUUAAAAGGGAUGCAGAAUUACAAAACUAAUAAUAAUAACAAUAAUAAUAAGAUGGAUAGAAGCAUGACCUGCCAAUGCAUGAUUUCGGCAAGCCUUUGCAUUGGUUCACCACUUCCCAAUGUAGUAAGAAUUUCAACAGCAUCCCAGAAUUUCAAUAGCAUCCCAAUGAUAACUCAUACUUGAUGAGCCUUGAUGGAGAAAUGAAAGUCCAGUUAAAAUUAUUCAAAAUGCAUAUCCACUCGCCAAGAACAUAUGCACCCAGAAAUCUCCUUAAAUAAAUAAGGUUUUAACAAGGUGAAUGCUUUGCUUUUUCUUUUUUUGGGAAGAACUUCAAAGUUAACAAAGGUAAGACUAUUGAGUUUUGAUGUUUACCUUGUGUGGGAGAAAUAUGAUGUUUACCCAGAAAUCACAUUUUGUUUUCAGAAUAAAUGGUUUUUUCCACCUCUGCAUUUGACAUUGAAAAAACUUAAAUAAAUACCAAACAAUUAAGAUAUGCUGCUGAUUUAAUUUACAAAGGAAUGGUGCAUGUGAAGAGAAAUUGACAUAUGACAAUCACCUUCAGCACAAUCAAUUCUCAUCCUAAUUUAGAAGACUAAUCAAACUAAUUGCAACAAUAACAUCUUCUCCACGACGUCUACUACCUUCCGCACAUAGAGUCAAAAUUAAUCCGUUAUAUCCAUGAAAAGAAUGAAGGCAGAAUUACAUUAAAAAAUGAAUAAAAAUGAUGGCUAAAAGAAAGACCUGCCAAUGCAUUUAAGAUCUCUUUGAAUUUGUUUCCCACAUCCCAAUUUAUUAGAAUUUCAGGUGACUAAAAAACAAAUAAAUGAUUCCUCUAGCUUGAUGAGCCUGCAUAUGUGGGAAAAAAGUGUUAAAAUAUUAUCAUAAAGCAAAUAAAUUCUCAAUUAUAAAAAAAAAAAUAAAAGAAAAAAAAAGGUACUCUGUAUAUUGAUAUUGAUUGUAAAGAAAUAAUGACAAAAGGAUACUUACGACUCAAAGGUAAUACACUGCUCAUUUUGGAAGAAACACAUCCAACACUUCAAAACUUAUCCUUCAUUGAUCUGUGUAAAUAGAAUCAUAGAGUGAAGAUUUUCUCAUGUAAGUUUAAUUUGCAAAUUGGAGAGAAAAAGGACCAACUUACCGAAGCUUCAUCAUCCAGUAGAUAGCGGCCCUCUCUUUGAAUUCUUUGGUCAUCAACUUCAAUAUUUGGGAUGUGAGAAAUGAAAGCCCAAUCCGCACCCUCUCUAUUUCCACAUCUUUCCUUCAAUUGGGGACAGUCAUUGAUAUUCAAUUCUCGUAACGAGGUGAGGGAACGCAUCUCUUGAGGCAGACACUUUAUUGCCGGACAAAUGUCAAUGGUUAGUCUUUGAAGACAAGCGAGAUUCCGCAGUCCAUCUGGAGGUAGAGAUUCGAGCUCUUAAAUAUUUUAACAUUUUUAUAGAAUUAUCCAUCGUUCUUCUAUAUGAAUAUAUAGUAAAUACACGCAAAAAUUUUAAAUUUUUAUAAAUAAAUAGCUGAUUGACAUCAUGUUUCUUAAACAAAAGAAUCGAUCGUACUCUUUUAGCAUUGUUAAGAAUUUCUUGUGGUGCAACAUCUAAAUUCAAUGCUACAUGAUGGGUUUUCUCAUCAAUAUUUGGUGUAUUAAAAUUUACUAGCUGAAUCCUCUUCUCAUCCACUCUAGUUGCGAGAUUGUGCAUUAAAUCAUGCAUUUUACAGCUUUCGACAUUUCCACAUCUAUCUCUUUUCACCUCUUGAAAAAAUGACCUCCACCACAGUUUCAUAAAAUAUUCAAGCCCAAUAUCUUCAAGACAAUCACUGGUACCUGGUGACUCAAUAAACCCUUGUGCAACCCAAAAAUGGAUUAAUGUUUUCACAUCAAUCACAUAAUCUUUUGGAUAUAUUGCGCAAUAUGCAAAACAAUGCUUCAAAUGUGAUGGGAGAUGAUCAUAGCUUAGUUUCAGUGUUGGCAUAAUAUCAUUACCAUCUUGACUUAUUCUUGAGAGUUCUUUUCUCAAAAAGGGCAGCCACUCAGUUUCUGGAUUUUUCGCAUACAAGAGACUUGCGAUAGUUUUUAUUGCAAGAGGAACUCCAUGACAUUUCUUCAGAAUCUCCUUUCCCUUCUCUCUUACAUUUGCAUGUUUUGGCUCCUGCCCCUCAAGUGCUACAUGCAAAAACAAAGACCAAGACUCCACCACAGAUAAGCCUUCCAAAACAUGUGGUGCUAUUGUGCCAGAUAUAUCUGCCACCUUUUUAGAGCGAGUGGUUAUUAAUAUCUUACUUCCACUAGAGCCACCCACUAAUAAUCUCUUUAAAUUCUGCCAUGUUUUUCUAUUCUCAUUCCACACAUCAUCUAGAACAAGCAGAUAUUUCUUCCCACAAAUAAUUUUUUCCAGUCUAGACUUCAAUGCUUCUAACUCAAGAUCUUCCGAUUUAUUCCCUGUUGCAGACUCUAGAAUCUUUCCAACAGUCAUUUUCACAUCAAAAGGUUCUGAAACACACACCCAUAUUCUUGGCUCAAAUGAAUUCUUAAUCAAUUCAUCAUUCAAUAUGAUUUGAGCAAGAGUGGUCUUCCCUAAUCCUCCAAUUCCAACAAUUGAGAGGACUGAAACACACUCUUCACCAUUGGAAGACAAUACAAGUUCUGUAAUUGCCUUUUUGUCACCCUCUCUCCCAAUAAUCACUUCAGGUAAAGAGGACGUAGUUUGAUCCCUCCAUACAAUACUCUCCUGAUCAGUACGAACCUCUAAAUUAAAUUUUCUGUCAGCUUCAAUAUCAGCUAGCCUCUCCCUAAUCGCCUUAACUUUAUGACCCAUUUUAAAACCAUAAACAAGUUGAUUUGAAGAUGAAAAGAAGAGACUUACCUCCUUUGUCAUUCUAUUUCCAGUCAUCACUCGGCGCCUUAGAGCUUCUGUGGCGAAGUCAUCUACCAAGUCAUCAGCAUCAUAAACAACUUCUUCUAGCCUCUCAAGCCAGCCUUUCACUUGACGGUUAAGUUUCUGCUGCUCCUCGGCAUCCAGAAGAACAUUGCGAAUACUAGAAACUGUGGCCUCAAGUUUCUUAAGCUCACCUUUGACGCCCCACCACAAUCCGAUCUCAUGAAGGGCUCGAGAACCCAGCUUGGUAAUGAUAUCUCCGACAACAUUAGAGAGAACUCCGUCGGCCAUUUUGGGUGUUUUGGUUUGAUUGUAAAAGCACGAAAUGUUGCUGUGAAGAAGAAGAUGGUGACAACAAAUGACUAAUUUAAAGAAAAAAAAAAGUGAAGGAAAAAGCAUUCUUCAUAAUUAUCUUCGGUCGGUCAGCUUUUGCGGGCGCUGGUUUGCUUUAAUUUAAAAAGUAAAAUAUAUUAAUAAAUUUAUAUAUAGAAUGAAAGUAAGUUAUUUUUUUUUAAAUAAUUUUAUUUUUUUUAUUAAAAAAAUAAUUUUUAUUAAAUAAAUUUUAUGAGUGAUUCAAAUAGUUAAAAAAUAUAAAAUAUGUUUUUGAUGUUACUGAAUUUUGGUUAUUGAAAGGAAAGUAUUUUUAUAUACUUGUGUGAUGAUGUGUAGAAUUAUAUUAGGUGUAACAUAACAUAUAAUAGAUUUGUUAUGAGUUUUAAGGAUUUUAAAUCGAUUUGAAUUCUAAUACUGUAGCGAUUCGAUUUCUGAAUCGUUACGGGAACAAUGAAUUGAUUUUAUUUUUUGGGUAGCAAAAGCUUAAGAGUAUUCUGUUGCAUAUUAUAGAUCCAUCGAUGUAAGAGAUGUUGCUUAUGCAUACAUUCAAGCUUUGGAGAUUCCUUCAGCUAGUGGCAGAUAUUGUUUCAUUAAAAGAGAUGUCCACUUCUCUGAGGUUCUGAAGAUUGUGUCAGCAACAUUAUCCUACAUUGCACCUUCCAAAAAAGUAUGGUUUUUUUUUUAUAUAUUUUUGCAUGCUCAUGUUGGACCAGCUAUAUAAAUGACUAAGAUUUAUAAUUAUUUGGAUAAUUGAGAAAUAGUUGUUUUGAAUGAUUAAUUUGAUCAUGGAAUAUAAUAUGAGUUGCAGAUGUGGCUCUGGAUUGAAUUACUUAACAAAGUAUGAGGUAUCAAAGGAAAAAGCGAAAACUUUGGAUAUUGACUUCAUUCCUUUGGAGGUUAGUUUCAAGGACACUAUUGAAAGCUUGAAAGAGAAGGGUUUCCUCAGCAUUUGAUUUUGGCUGUUGGAUAAAAAGCAAUGCAAAUAUUACAUUGGCCUUUCAGGUUCAUUGGUUUUAGCUUCCUAUUGGUGCAAGAUAUUAUUGCCCUUCAGGAUUGUCUUUAUUUGAAAAGAGUGGACCAAUACAAUUUAUAAAAUAUAUAACAAUUUGUACAGAACUGUGUAUAAACAUUUUACAUGUGUCACUUGUUUCACUGGUAGAUGAAGUUCAUUUCAGGUCUGAUUUAUGAGGAAGUUACAAUUUUUUUUUUUUUAUCUGAUUCCAUGUCUCAUUCCAAAGAAUAAGACACAAGAAAAAGAAAAUAUAUAAUCCACCAAUUCUGAUUUCGUUCAGUCUUUUUAAAGUAUAUUCAGAUUUCAUAGCCAAUUCAUUUUAUGUUGUAUCUGAUUCAGGGUAUUAAAUAACGGCCGUUACGUAACGUAACGGCCGUUAUGUAACGGUAUCAAGGGGGGUCGUUACCCGUUAGGCCGUUACCCAACGGCCCCCUUGAAUUGCAUCCGUUACGGCCGUUACGUAACGGUAACGGCCGUUACCGACAGUGAUGUAACGGUAACGGCCGUUACUUUAUCCCAACACAAACUUCAGAUUACAGAGAAUAUAUUCAAAAACCAGCUAUGCAUUGAAUUUGACCACUUUUGUCCCUCUUCUCCAGCAAGCACAGCAGACAACCUCAUUUUGCAACUAAAAUUUCCAACUUUCUUUUCCUUUUCUCUCAAAUAUCUCAAUCUCAAGCUUCUCUAAACAUUUCUCAUUUACAAUUACAAGCUUCAAUCUACCAUUAACUACUUCAUUUCAAGAUAAUUUCUUUUAAAAAGUGACUUAAUAUUUCUAUGUAUUUUUACUUUCAAAGUUGCUGUAUUUUUUUUUUUAAUUUUUGUAGAUUAAAUUUGUAGUUUUGAGUUAAAAAUAUAUUUUGAGCUAUUAAUUUGUCCGAUCUAUAAAAAUUGUAUGGUUUUUGUUAGUUUAGACUAUUUUUCAGAAAUCAUUAUGAAAUUAAACUAAUUUUAGUUGCUGUAUUUUUUUUGUUUCAUUUUUGUGGAUUAAAGUGUUAGAUUUGAGUUAAAUUAAUAGUGUAUUUUUACUUUCAGAAUUUUAGAGGAAUCAGAGCUGCUGUAUUUUUUUUUUUAACUUUUGUAGAUUAAAUUUGUAGUUUUGAGUUAAAAAUAUACUUUGAGGCUAUUAAUUUGUUAGAUCUAUAAAUUGUAUGGUUUUUGUUAGUUUAGUUUAGACUAUUUUUCAGAAAUUAUUAUGAAAUUAAAUUAUUUUUAGUUGCUGUAUUUAUUUUUUUUUAAUUUUUGUGGAUUAAAGUGUUAGUUUUGAGUUAAAUUAAUAGUGAUAGAAUAAGACUUGUAGUUUGACAAUUAAAAUUUCAUAUUUAUAUAAUUUGUGUUAAAUAGAAAUUAAUAUAUGUAGUUAGGUUAAAAUUAAAAUAUUAGUUAUGAAAAAAAUAUUCGCCUUCCAUGUAUUUGACAUUUGAUAUCUUUUAAAUUUUAUGAACAAUUAUUAAAUAUUUGUAUUAAAAUGCCUCAUGGAAGUGGUUCUGGUUCUACUCAAGGGGUGGUAAACUAAGUGAUGAUAUUGGGUGGAAGUUUGCAACACCUACAGGGAAAAAAAGGAGAACUGAUUUGUAAUUUAUGUGGGAGAAAAGUCACAGAUGGAAUAACAAGAUUGAAGUUGCACUUGGCUAACAUACCUGGUCAAAUUGCAGGUUGUGAGAAAGUUUCUUCCAAAGUUAAGAAGGAUAUGGCCGCUGUCCUGAAAGAAUACCAAUUAGCUAAAAAGGAUAAAGAAAAAAGAGAAAGAGAAUUAGAAGAAGAAAUUAUGAAUAUAAAUAGAAUCGAAGAUGAUGAAGAGGAGGAGGAGGAAGAGGAUAUCGAAAUGGAAAUAGCGAGACGGGCGAGCAUGAGACAGUUGGAAGAAGAUGAAUUUAAAAGGAGAACUGGAUCUAGAUUUGAUGUUGGUGGUAGUAGCAGACAAGUGUUGGGUCGUUCUGCUACUACACGUGAGGGAGGUAGAGAAACACAAAAAUAUGCAGAAGUAUCUACACCGGCAUCUCGGUUGGCUGCCACAGAAAUUGAGAUAGAGAGAAGCAGAGCUCAACAAAAGCAGCCAAAAUAAAAAACUAAAUGGUUGAAGACACAGAAGGAGAAAAUGUUGUAAGCAUUUGGAAAUUUUAUUAUACAUAAUAGGCUUUCCUUCAGUAUUGUUGAGUCACCGUGAACAAAGCCACUUUUAAGAACAGCAGCAGAAAUCGGGGCUAAUGUAUCUCCACCUACUGCUUAUGAAAUAGCAAAAAUUUAUCUAAAAAAUGAGUACAAUGAGAUGAAAAAAUAUAUAGCCUCAUUUGAUGGAAUAUGGAAGGAGAGGGGAGUUACUAUAAUGUGUGAUGGUUAGAGUGGGCCAACACGUAUGAGUAUAGUAAAUUUCCAUGUCUAUUCAAACAGAGGAACAGUGUUCCACAAGUCUAUUGAUGCAUCCAAUGUGGAAUAUAAAGAUGGAGAACACUAUUUUAAAAUUAUGAAAGAAGUAGUGGAAGAAAUAGGGCCUAAAAAAGUUGUCCAAGUGGUAAUGGACAACGAAGCUGCCAUUAAAUUAGGAGGGAAGAAACUGAAGGAGAAAUUCCCUAAUCUAUAUUGGACUGCUUAUAGUGCUCAUUGUAUUGAUUUGAUUUUGGAAGAUAUUGGAAAGAAGAAGAGUGUGAAAAAAAUAAUUGACCAAGCCAAGGUAAUUACUCAAUUUAUUUAUAAUCAUAAUUGGGUAGUCAAUUAUAUGAAGAAAUUCACGGACAAUAGAGAUAUUAUUCGACCUGGCAUCACUAGAUUUGCCACAAACUUUAUUGCUUUAGAGUCUAUUGUCCGUUAUAGGGUGAGGCUAAGGAAUAUGUUCGAAUCGGAGCAAUGGAUGAUGAGUAAAUAUGGACAAGCAACAAGUGGUCCAGCGCAUGAAGUCAAGAAAAUUGUGCUUGGCUUAGGCAGCGAAGGAAGAAACUUUUGGGAGAAGGCACAACAAAUAAUGAAAGUUCAAGAACCUCUCUUGAAGGUUUUAAGAUUAUUUGGUGGGGAUGACAAGCUAACAAUGAGAUUUAUAUAUGAGGCAAUGGAGCGAGCGAAGUUGGCUAUUCAAAAAAAUUCUAGAAGCUAUUUGGAAUAUUGGAGAAUAAUUGAUCAUAGAUAAAAUUUUCAAUUGCAUCAUGACUUACAUGCCGCUGGUAAGAACAUUGUAUUAUAAUUUGAUAGUUUAGAAAAUUAAAUUGUUAAAUUAAGAGAUAACUUAUUAUCUAUCUUCAUAUUUUAUUUUGCAGGAUAUUUUCUAAAUCCUUAAUAUCAAUAUGGCCCAUAUGAUAUUGGAAAUGAUAAUGAGAUCGUCUCAAAAAUGUGAUUCAACAUCUAGAGGGGGAUUUAGUAAAUCAAGGAAAAACAUUAAAUAAAGUAAGUAACAACUAACAAGCUAAUUCUUAAUUGUUACUAUGUUAGUGUAGUUGAAGGCUUGAAGCUUGAAUUGUUGCUUUUGAACUUGAAGUUAACUUACUGGAAUUUGGAACAUGUAGACCCUACUUUUUCGGGACAAAAUAGAGAGUUUUGGAACAGUUUUGGCACAAAAGGCAAUUAAGUUCACUAAUCCAGGUACUAAGUUUAUAAAAUAAGUAUAAAUUAUUUUUGUUCAUUCAUUUAUAUACAGCUAAGUUCAUUAAAAUAAUAAAAACUUAAAAUAUUUUACAGCUGAGUGGUGGAUUAAUUAUAGAGAAAGUGCUCCUGAGUUGAGAAAAAUCGCUAUUAAAAUACUGAGCCAAACAACUUCAGCUUCAAACUGCGAGAGAAAUUGGAGCACAUUUUCUCACAUUCACACAAAGACAAGAAACAGAUUGAAGUAUAAAAAAUUACAUGCACUUGUCUUUGUGCACUACAACAUGAGGCUGAAAAUCAGAAAUGUGAUAAGAAAAAGCCAACAGGAGUUAGACAGGAGCUACGAUCCAAUUAAUUUGGAUUAUAUUUUUAAAGAAGAUGAUCCGUUAAACUCUUGGUUGGAGGAAAGAGAAUCUCCAUUGUUUGAUGGGCAACCAAUGUAACAGCCCGAAAACCGGUACCCCUUUGUAACGGCUCCAAACUGCUCGGCGCUAGGAUCCAGAUCGGCUUAAGGCCGCGGGACCCGUAGCAAGCCUGCUAAACUCUCUAAACAUCUGGUAUAAUCCCAUACAUGAUCAACCUAUUACUUUUCAGGCUUAACCUGAGCAAGAUCUGUAACUGAAAACUUGUCUUUUCUCUUUACCAAGCUUAACUCGUGCAUGCACUUACUACUAACUUAACCCCACUCUGGAGUCUACAAGGGCUGCUCCAAUGGAGUAACAUCUCAUUCAUUAAGCUUGGUUACCAUGAAAACGUCUUGAAAACAUUUCAAGCAAAAUGAAAACAUUUAUCUUAAAAAACUCAUGAUCAUGUACCACAUGAAGGGAUUAACCAACACUAGGCAAAGCACAUCUCUAAACCUUAUCUCAUAUACCUUUCUUAACUUUACUCUAUCACUUUACCACAUAUUCUUUCCAUUCAUAACCUUUAUAUACAUCAUGUCCUUACAUCAUGUCCACAACUGCACUAUAUAAGCAUAUAAAACAUAACAUCACUUAAUCUUUAUAUCAAUCUUGCAUAACAUAUACAUGCCACUCAAACAACACUAAGCUAUACUAUUACAUCCAAAACACUAGCCACAACAUAACUCUUGACUCUGCCACCUCUGACUUCCCAUAGCUCACUCUGAUCAAACUCUGGCCCUGCAACACUGGGGUUAAGGGAAAGGGAUGAGCUACUAGAGCCCAGUGAGUAGAAACCAUAAAACAGUUCAUUCAUUCAUUACAUGCUCUCGUGCAAUGCGUCACAGCACAAACAUAUCAUAUCUCGGAUUAGACAUGACCCCAGACACUACAAAAAUCUGUUGGAAUAGUAACGGAUAUUAGUAACGGAUUUAAAUCCGUUAUAAUUUUAUAACGGAUUAGUAACGAAUUUUAUAUUCUGUUACUAAUUUUUAUUAUUUAGUAACGGAUUGACAAUCCAUUACUAAAUCUGUUACUUAAUAAAAUUAUUUAUAAAUUUAAUAACGGAUUUUGAGAUCCGUUAUAAAUCUAUUACUAAAUUAGCUAAAAGUUAGUAACGGAUCUCAAUCCGUUAAUAAAUUUGUUACUAAAUCGGUUACUAAAUAAAUAAAUUAAAUAAAUAAAAUAGUAACGGAUUUAAUAACGGAAUGUUGUAACGGAUUUAAUCUGUUACUAUUUUUUUAAUAAAAAAAUUAAUUUUUUAUUUUUUAAAAUUUCAAAUUUUCUUUUUAAGUUAGUAACGGAUAUAAUCUGUCACUAAAUCCGUUACUGAUACGAAAAUUAGUAACAAAUUCUAUAAUCCGUUACUAAAUUUUAGAAAAUAAAAUACCGCGCUUUUAUUUUAAAUUCCUGCAUUUUUAUUUCUAAUUUAGUAACGGAAAAAAUCUGUUACUGAGUUCAUUACUAAUUUAAAAUUAGUAACGGAUUAAGAAAUCCGUUACUAAAAUUUGAAGAAUAAUACCGCCUUUUUAUUUUAGUUCGCCCGCAUUUUUUUUUUAAAUUUAGUAACGGAUUUAAUCCGUUACUAAAUCCGUUACUAAUUCGCGUAUUUAUACACUCACCCAUUUUAUCUCCCUUCACUUAUUCAUUUUCUUUCUCCCCAUUUUAUUUCCCUUCAUUUCAUUCAUCUUCUUUCUCCUCUUCUCUCAUCAUUUCUUCAUUUCUCCCUUAUCUUAUUUUUUUCUUAAUUAUUAACUCCAUUUUUUUUUCAUUUUCUUUCAUUUCCUUCAAUUUUCUCUUUAAUUUUCUUUCAUUUCCUUCAAUUUUCUCUUCAAUAUUCUUUCAUUAUUGAUCUUCCUUUUAUCACUUGAUUUUUGUUUUAUUUUCUCUCAUAUUUUUUCUUUCAUUUUUUUCUAUUUUCUUUCAUUUUCUUCUAUUUUCUUUCAUUUUCUCUUCCACUUUCUAUCAUUUUCCCUUCCUUUUUCUUUCAUUAUUCAUUCAUUUAUUUUCUUUUCUCUCAUAUAUAUACUCUAACCUUUUUUUUACAUUCUUUUGUAUAUCUUCAUUUUCUCUUUAUUUUUCUUCAUUUUUUCUUCAUCUUUCUCUCAUUUUCUUUCUUUUUUCUAUUUUUUCUUCCUUUUUUCUCAUUUUCUUUAAUUUUCCCUUUUUUCUUAUUUGCUCUUCAUUUUUAUCAUUAUUUUCUUUUAUUUUCUUUCUUUUGUUAUUUUCUCUUUUAUAUCUCAUUUUUUUUUCUAUUCUCUCACAUUUUUUCUUUUUUAAAUUUUCUCAUGUAAUUUUAUAAUAAUUUUCUCAUAAAAUUAAUAAAAUUUAAAAUAUUAAAGUUAAUAUUUAAUAUAAAAUACAAUGAAAAAAUUAAUAGUUUACCAUAAUUAAAUUAUUAUCUAAUGUAAAAUAUAAUGAAAUAAAUUAAUUCCAUUUAAAAAAAAUGAAAUAAAUUAAUAAUUUAAUAUAAUUUUUAAAAUAUUUUUUAAAAUUAACAAUAGAUUUAAUAACGAAAUAUAAAUUUAAUAUAUUUUUUUUAUUUUUUAUUUUAUCAAAUUAGUAACGGAUUAGUAACGGAUUUCUAUCCGUUACUAAAUUUAGUAACGGAUGCAAUUUAUUUAUAUAUUUUUAAUUUUUAUUAAAUUAGUAACGGAUUUGAAAUCCGUUACUAAAUUUCAUUACAAAUCCGUUACUAAAUUCGUUACUAAAUUAGUAACAGAUUGCUAAUCGGUUACUAUUGCAUUAGCAACGAGGUUCAUAGUAACGGAUGUAAAUACGUUACUAAUCUGUUACUAAACUGGUUAGUAACGGAUUUUUCAUUGAUUAGUAACGGAAAAAUCCGUUACUAAUCCGGAAAAAUCUUAUAGUGAGAACUCCCUCUGUCGGUGACCGGCCCCUAAGGAACAUCUCGGUCACUACAUGUACUAGAGCCCGGCCCCUACUACGGAGCUCCCAAAGGUCUUAUCUAGACAUAACAGGUCGCGGGCUACUGGGAUCGCCUUGGUCCAUCCCAUCAACAGUAAAAUAGUGCAAUGCAACAUAGUCGUGAUCUCUAAUGCAAUACAACCUGGUAUCACAUGGCAUUCAUGAUGCGUGUCUCAUGCUCAUACUGUCAUUUCCUUUAAAUAUUAACUUUAAAACAUGCAUAGUUAGUUCUACUCACCUGAAGCCUCUGCUCAGCUAACUCUGGGCCUACUCUAACACUGGAGCUAAACACCUCGCCUCAGGUCCGAUCCUACACAGGUGGUCUCACAUGAGGUGCCAAACAACUCUAAAACAUCUCCCCAAAACCCCUCUAAAGCAUCAUAAGCAUGCAUGGAAAAACAUGCAAAGGAAGGCAAAACAGGGCACCUUCGGCGGCACUUUCGGCGGCCGAAAGUCUCCUCCAGAGACGAAACUCGGGUAGGUUCGGCGGCACCUUCGGCGGCCGAAUGUGCAUGACAGAUCCGAAAGUCCAACUUCCGGAGGCAAGGUUAGGCAGCCGAAACCACCUCCUCAAGGGUUCGGCGGCCGAAACUCCUUUCGGCGGCCGAACCUGAGUUCCUCUAGAACUCAAAUUCAUGCACCAACACACCUCCCUAAGCCUUCCUAACUCUCUUAACAUGCAUACAACCUCUUAAAACCAUGCAUAAACCUCUAAACAUGCAUAAAGGAGCCUAAAACAACCUUAAACUCUAACACUUAACAACAUAUAACACAUAAACACAUACAUAGGCAUAAAGGGCUAUAAAACCCUCCCAUGCAAAACCAUGCAACACAUGCUUCAAAACCCCCAAAACUCUCCAUAAAACUUGCUUAAAACAUCAUAAAACAUAAGGAUCAACACUUACCUCUUGAAGAACUAGAGUUGGUGUGAUCCUAGCUUCAAAACGUGGAGAUACCAAGCUUCUAAAGCUUCAAACUCCAAAACCUUGCUCAAAGCUCACAACUCUUCAAAACAAGGAUAAAAGUCAUGAAAACCUUGAAAGAACUUGUAAAAAACCAUGAAAUCAUACCAAGGAGGACAUGAGCUCACCUUGGGUGGGAAGAGGAAGAAAACUCACCUCUUGAACCGACCUAAGUGGCUUAUAUAGGUGGCUUGGUCAACCACUUUCGGCAGCCAAACAUGCAGGCAAAACCUUCCUACGUUCAGAAGCCGAACAUGGCUUUCGGAAGCCAAAACCAUGCAACCUUCGGCGGCCGAACUUUACCUUCGGCGGCCGAACCUGCAUUUUGCCUCCUUGACCUUUUCUCUCAAAACUCAAAACCUUUUAACUUAAAACCAUCAAAACCCUUAAAACCUUUUUGAAAACCUUUUAGAAAACCUUUAUUUUACCCUUGCUUAACCCUUGACAAAGGGUCCGACAUCCGAGAUUCCACCGGACGGUAGGAAUUCCGAUGCCUGAACGAGCCGGGUAUUACAACCAAAUCCAUGGUUAGAUGAUGAAGAGGCGGGUAAUGCUCCAUCACAGUCUGAAUCUGCCACUCAAACUCAAGGACAACAAGGUGCUGCUGGUGAUGAUGAUUCUUUUAUUUUAUCCAGCUCUAGUAGUGAUGAUGAUGGUGGUGGUGGUGAUCAAGGUGGAGGAGGAACCACAGUUGAAGGAGGUGGUAGUCGUAGUUCACAAGAUCCACCUAGUCAAAGACAAAGUGGAAUUAGAAUUGCUUCUGAACCAUCUCCGAUGCGUACAUAUCAAAGAUCACAAGGCUCUCAUAGUUCUGGUACUGGUGGUGCUGAAACAUCCCAAACAAGAGGUAAGGAUGUUGCAUAUGAGGAGGAGGGGUCAAUUGAUUCAUUAAAUUAUGAAUACAAUGCUGGCACAUAUAAUCCAAAUUUUAUGUAUGGUGGUGGACGUGGACCUGGUGGUAGCUCAUCAUCUGAAGAUACUUCAUCAAAUUAUGGGUUCCAUGGCCAAUUUAGAGGGGUGCCAUAUCCAACAAAUUAUCCUCCUGCAUAUUCAUAUUACCCCUUAUCAAGAGCAGAGUCAGCUUUAUCAUACCCUCAACCAACUUAUGGUGAUCCUAAUGAUAUUAUGGGUGGUGGUUCUUUAUUUAGUUUUGAUCCACAAUAAUACUAUCAACAUCAGCAGCAUCACCUUAAUGAUCAAAGCUCAGAGAGCCAAAGUCAAGACCAACAAGAACCUGCACAAUGUUCUUUUUGGUGGUAGUGAGGUUGGUAAUUUCCUAUUUGGUAUUUAAUUUAAGCUAAAUAGUAUACAUUUGAUAUAUUUAUGUUUAUUAUAUAUUUGUAUAUAUUGUUCUGAAUUAAAUCUAUUGAUAUCAUAUCAUUUUAUGAACUUUGCAAAUUGAUUUGAAAAAUUUGCGUAGCGCCAGGCCGUUACCAUUAUGUUACGGCUGUUACAGACCUAUUUCCGUUACCCGCGACCGCGGCCGCGAUCACCAUUUAAAACCAUGAUCUGAUUUCUGGUUCUUGUUAUAUGCUCUUACAAAAUUCAUCUAAAAUUCAGUGCUCUUACACAUUCUAGAAACACAAUUUAUACAAAAACUGAUUCUCAGGAAAAAAGGGAAAAUAAUGUUAUUUGCAUUGAAUGAACAAAUGAUUAGCUUAGUAGCAAAACUACUUAAAAUCAGAGAAAUUAGAAAUAAAAAAGCAGCACAACAUGAGUCUGGGCAUUGCAUGUUGCAUGAUCGAAACAGAGGUCUUGAGCGAGAAUCUAGAUCCUGAAAUACGCAGGCCUGCAAAAAGUCAUUCGAAGAAGUGUGCAAAACUCCCAUCAUUAAGCUUUCAUUUCUGCUUCCCGCUCAGCAGGAUUACUAUGUACUGAGUUGUUUUCUGAACUGUGACAGAUAGGAAACUUGUCCCGGUGAGUUUUUAUUCCGGGAUGUCAAGGGCACAAUGCGCAGCUUAGUGAAUCUCCAUCAUCUUUGCCACAGGUGUAAGUUAUGAAGAUAGUUGCUAGAUGGAGGAUUUUCACACUAGUGAUUUAGCAUCUGUUUCAAGCCAGAAUCAUCAUUAAAUCACAGAUUUGCUUUACAAGCAAUAACUAGGGGGAUUUCAUAUUACAAGUAGAGUCUUUAUAACCUACUGAAUCGCUUAUUUGCGAAGACAGAAGAAAAGGAGAGCUCACGUUUUGUUUUUACUGCACAAAUACUGCAUAUGGAAUCUGAGUGAGAAGUUACUCCCUAAAAAUUUCAAAAGUGUUUUUGAGAGGUACCUUUGCGCGAAUCUUCUGGCAACAGACUCAAAGAAGUCAUCCAAUAAGUAGAAAUUCAUCUAUGGAAGGCCACACACAUGAAUAGCAGUUCUUUCAAGGCGAAUUAUGCCAAGCCAAUCAAGGAAUUGCUGCCAUGGCAUGUAGUUGUGUUUUCUUAAAGUGUUCGAGUAACUUCUGCACAAGGAAUCAAAUUAAUCUUUAAAUCCGUGAAAUUAAAAAGGAUGCAGAAUUACAAAACUAAUAAUAAGAACAAUAAUAAUAAGAUGGAUAGAAGCAUGACCAGCCAAUGCAUGAUUUCGGCAAGCCUUUGCUUUGGUUCACCACUUCCCAAUGUAGUAAGAAUUUCAACAGCAUCCCAGAAUUUCAAUAGCAUCCCAAUGAUAACUCAUACUUAAUGAGCCUUGAUGGAGAAAUGAAAGUCCAGUUAAAAUUAUUCAAAAUGCAUAUCCACUCGCCAAGAACAUAUGCACCCAGAAAUCUCCUUAAAUAAAUAAGGUUUUAACAAGGUGAAUGCUUUGCUUUUUUCUUUUUUUUUGGGAAGAACUUCAAAGUAAACAAAGGUAAGACUAUUGGGUUUCGAUGUUUACCUUGUGUGGGAGAAAUAUAAUGUUUACACAGAAAUCACAUUUUGUUUUCAGAAUAAAUGGAUUUUUCCACCUCUGCAUUUGACAUUGAAAAAACUUGAAUAAAUACCAAAUAAUUAAGAAAUGCUGCUGAUUUAAUUUACAAAGGAAUGGUGCCUGUGAAGAGAAAUUGACAUAUGGCAAUCACCUUCAGCACAAUCAAUUCUCAUCCUAAGUUAGAAGACUAAUCAAACUAAUUGCAGCAAUAACAUCUUUUCCACGACGUCUACUAACUUCUGCACAUAGAGUCAAAAUUAAUCCGUUAUAUCCAUGAAAAGAAUGAAGGCAGAAUUACAUUAAAAAAUGAAUAAAAAUGAUGGUUAAAAGAAUGACCUGCCAAUGCAUUUAAAAUCUCUUUGAAUUUGUUUCCCACAUCCCAAUUUAUUAGAAUUUCAGGUGAGUAAAAAAGAAAUAAAUGAUUCCUCUAGCUCGAUGAGCCUGUACAUGUGGGAAAAAAGUGUUAAAAUAUUAUCAUAAAGCAAAUAAAUUCUCAAUUAUAAAAAAAAAAAAUAAAAGAAAAAAAAGGUACUCUGUAUAUUGAUCUUGAUUGUAAAGAAAUAAUGACAAAAGGAUACUUACGAACUCAAAGGUAAUACACUGCUCAUUUUGGAAGAAACACAUCCAACACUUCAAAACUUAUCCUUCAUUGAUCUGUGUAAAUAGAAUCAUAGAGUGAAGAUUUUCUCAUGUAAGUUUAAUUUGCAAAUUGGACAGAAAAAGGACCAACUUACCGAAGCUUCAUCAUCCAGUAGAUAGCGGCCCUCUCUUUGAAUUCUUUGGUCAUCAACUUCAAUAUUUGGGAUGUGAGAAAUGAAAGCCCAAUCCGCACCCUUUCUAUUUCCACAUGUUUCCUUCAAUUGGGGACAGUCAUUGAUAUUCAAUUCUCGUAACGAGGUGAGGGAACGCAUCUCUUGAGGCAGACACUUUAUUGCCGGACAAUACACAAUGGUUAGAUUUUGAAGACAAGUGAGAUUCCGCAGUCCAUCUGGAGGUAGAGAUUCGAGCUCUUUAAUGUCCAUAAUGCAAAGGUUCUUCAAUUUAGAGAGAGGAGGAAUGAUUGAGGAAGAAGAAGAGAUUGAUGGUGUGAAUAUUUGGUGCACAAGUUGUGGGCUUGCGUGCAGCAAUUCUAGUGAAUCAUCGAGAGAUGGAAACUGAGGGAUGGAGGUCAAAUUAGGGCAGACCUCACAAGAGAAAUAUGAAAGACAAGGAAAUUGGAGUAGCUCAAGAGCUGUCGAAUCAUCCCUCUUCUUCUGCCAUCCUUUAAGCUUAGGACAAAGAUAUAGCUUGAGAGUCUUUAGGGAUGGAAAGAAUGAUGUUGGUUGUCCCUCAAUCUCCAUGUAUUUUAAAUCAUCUACUCUCGAAAUCUCUAGAUAUUGAAGAGAAGGGAUUUGAUCCAUUGGUGGGAGAUGCUGAUAUCUCUUGCAAUCGCAUAUAGAGAGAUAGACAAGAUUCGUGAGGGAAGAGAACCAACUUGGGAACCUGCUGCCUCCAUAGCCAAGCACACGUAACUCUUUAAGAUUGGGAUGUGGUUGGAGAUUUUGGAAUGCCAUUUCAUCUCUAUCAACAUUUGAAUGUUCCCAACUCUCCUCCCAACGUAAUUCCAAUGAUUGAAGGAAACUUAAUAGUCAACAGUACUCACUGUUCGUGUCAGCUUGCGAUGUGUGUCAAAGGGUGAAGCUAGAGCACCAGAAGCCGGCGGGAAUGCUUAACCCACUGCCGAUUCCAGAGUGGAAAUGGGAGAAUAUCGCUAUGGACUUCAUAGUGGGGUUACCGGCAACGUCCAACAGAUUGGACUCCAUAUGGGUGAUUGUGGACAGACUCACCAAAUCUGCUCACUUCAUCCCUGUCAGGAGUGGCUAUUCUGUGGAUAAGCUGGCGCAGGUGUAUGUGGAUGAGAUUGUCAAGCUGCAUGGGGUUCCUGUUUCUACAGUGUCUGAUAGAGGGCCCCAGUUCACCUCCAGAUUUUGGCGGAGUCUGCAGAGUGCUAUGGGUACCAGAUUGGAUUUCAGUACUGCUUUCCAUCCACAGACUGACGGACAGUCAGAGAGGACCAUCCAGACGAUAGAGGACAUGCUCAGAAUGUGUGUGCUAGAUUUUGGCGGUUCUUAGAGGCAGCAUCUACCCUUGGUGGAGUUUGCCUACAAUAACAGCUAUCAUGCUAGCAUAGGGAUGGCCACAUAUGAAGCUUUGUAUGGGAAGAAGUGCAGAUCUCCUAUCUGCUGGGAAGAAGUGGGAGAAAGGACUCUUGCGGGUCCGGAGUUAGUAGAGCUUACCAGCAGGGUAGUGCCCAUAAUCAGAGAGAGGAUCAAGACUGCUGCUAGCCGGCAGAAGAGUUAUGCAGAUAUCCGCAGAAGACAGCUAGAGUUUCAGGAGGGGGAUUUGGUUUUGCUCAAGGUGUCUCCUAUGAAAGGGGUGGUUCGUUUUGGAAAGAAGGGUAAGUUAGCUCCACGGUAUAUCGGUCCUUUUGAGGUUCUCCAGAGGGUCGGAAAUGUAUCGUACAAGCUGGACUUGAGGUUCUAGAUCACUGUGGUCUGUGGCUCGUAUGCAACCCAAAUUUCUAGUUGACACCUGCAGAGACUCAAAGAAGAUAGAAAACAAAUUAGAGUAAUUCAAAUUUAAGUUGAUUUCUUUUGUUUUUUUAAUUAAUCCUUUGCCUGAGAUCUUUCAUCCGAUUGACUAAGAAUUAUCGGCAAAACCAACGAGAAUGAUAAAAAAGGCCUUCAGUGAGUACUGUUGACUAUUAAGUUUCAGAAAUUGGGAACAUUGUUGCCUUGAUUCACUUGUGUUCUCUCAGAAGAAUUAAAUCCAAGAUGUAAAUUCCCCUUCAGUACUAAGUUAAGAUCUUCCACUUCCAUUCCCUUGUAAGUUAGGAGUUUGACAAUUGAUUUUCCAAAAACACUAUCAAAACCUUUUCUGAAAAAGGAUAUUCCUUCAGAAAUAGAGUUGAGGAAGUCAUCCAGAAUUUCAUUAUUCUUGGCAUUCUUAUUGUAAAAGGAUCGAUAUGCAUCUCUUACAUCUUCUAUAGAAAUAUCCUUUCCAGCCAGUUGCAAAAGAAACACACGAUGAAAGGCAACACCUACUUGCACUUCAUGCAUCAAUGCCAAUGCAAUCACCUUACCAGAAAAUUCAAAACAGUCGUAAUGCAAGGGUUCCAACUUCAAUUCUGCAUAUAUAAUGAAUUAAAAAAUAAUGGAUCGUUACUCUAUAAUUUCUCUUUUCUACUCCUUCCUUCUUAUAUUCUUUAACAUAUAAACAUAUCUAUAUUAGGCAUAUAUCAAUCAUUUCUCAAGAAAAGAGAAAAUCAGGUAAAGUAAUAUAUUAUUAUGGAUGCCACUGACAACAAAUUAAGAUCAAAUUAAAAAGGUAGGAUAGUGCCUGCAAGUUGAUCCAAAUGAGCGUCCAACUGCUUAUGAGCUUUUGGAUCAUCCAUUUGUGAAGGAUAGUGGCUUUUAGCAUCUUUUUUCAAAUUUAGUGAACUCCCUGAAGUUUCUUCUUUAGCCUUAAUUGUGUGAACAUACACCUCUCAUAUUGCUUUCUAAGAGAAAAAGAAAGUCUAGUUAGGUCGUUUAUGAACUUGCAAUGAGUCAAAAUCAUUUUGUAACAUCAUAUUUUAAGUUUGGUACGUGUAUGCUGUGUUUUGAGUUGUAGCUGUUGAUUCUCCUAUGCUGCGUUUGUAAAAGACCGUUAGUCCUCAAUUUUGUUUGUAAUGAGUUUUUUCGUUCUCUCGCCUCAAAUACACGACACAUCGGACUUAACCGCUCAUUUAUCCAAUGUGAAUUAUCUUCAAUUAUAUAUACUGUUUUUGGAUUAAAAUGAUGAAAAGCAGUCAUGAAUCUAUGCAAACGACUGUAUGAUUCAUAUUUAUCCCUCACUUCGACUUGUAGGGUAGCAAUUUUUAUAUAUGGCUCCUGUUCAAUUAAUGCAAAUAUAAAUGAACAAAUAAAAUUUUCAUCCAAUUGGUUAUGGUUUUUUGUCAACUGAGAAUUUGUGCAUGUGUGCAACUCACUGUAUCUCGUAAUUUUCCAUAUAUCCUCCCCUUCUUUUUUGGAUGUUUGAAGCCUCCAUGCACACCCACUUUCUUUGUCUUUACACUUUAUAGAAUAAGUCUUCUCUCUUGUUGCAUGAUAACAAAAUUGAUGAUGAUAUUUUUUUGCAGCCGCAGCCACUGCAUCUCUUGAAAAAAUAUCAUCCAAACUGAAAAUUCUUUAGAAGGAUCCCAAAAGGAACGACCUUCUGGCCUAUCAUAAGGAUCCACUCUCAGCAAAUCGAAGUCUAUUUCUGCGUAUGGGGGAUGAUGAACAACAGACACAAUAGGAUUAGGAAAUUGUGUGUUGUAAUAUCGAGACUCACUCCCACUAUCUUCCUGACCAUUAUCAUCCUCAUCAUCCUCAGAAGACAUCCAUGAAUCAUCGUCAUCGUCAUCCUCGUUGUCAUUCUCUACUGCAUCAGAUAAAUUAAUUGAUGGCCCUGUAAGACUUUUAGAUAAACCAUAAUCAUCAACUACAUUUUGCUCUUCACAUGAAUCAUCAUUUGAUUCCACAGCAGUUUCAGAUUGACCAAUAUCAGCAUCCUCAUUUGUAGUAUCAACACAACGAAGUAUCUUAACAUAUAUUUCUAUACCAAGUAUACCACCAAUUUGAUACAAGUAAUUAAACAUACUAGAUACAUCAUCUUCACCCCAUAUCUCCAUACAUUAAAUUUUAAGGAUCCAUCCACAAUUGUAGACUUUCUAAAACUAAUUGUCUAUAAAUUCAUUAUUCUCGGAUAAUCCAAUUGCACAAGCAAUUUUACCGACCAAUUGAUUAAAACUUAUCUGUAUACCCAUUGGAAUAAUCUUUGAAAAACCUCCAUCAUAAUCGUAACCAUUACAACUAUUUAUAAUAUUAUCAUCCCAAUGAAUAUUAGUAUAUACAGGAACUGUCAUUUCUCUGAUAAAAAAAAAUAGAAUAAUAAAUAAUUUGAUCUCAAUUUACUAUAUACAUAAAAAAAAUAAAAAUUUAGAAUAUAAAAUAUUUAAAACUUACCUGCGUUUCUCUUUUUGUAGUCGAAUCGAUAAGAGUAGAUAUAAUAAUUUUGUGAAAUUUGUAGAGGAGAAUAAAUAGUUUAUAGAACGCAAUUUGUUGAGAUAUAAUGCAGAUUUUGAGUAAUUUAUAGAGUAGUGGGUGAGAUAAUUUAUAGAGAGAUCGGAAAGGGGCGAGCUAAAGUGAUUUAUAGAGUGGUGAGUGGGAUCAUUUAUAGAGAGGUGUGGGAGUAGUAGCCGUUGGCUAGUUCGGCAGUGAUGGUGCCGAACUAGCCGUUGCCGAACUUAUUGCUCCGUACAUGUAGACAAAGAAGCCACGGACUGCACAGGAGGAAUUAAUUGUACAAGAAUUUGUUCCACACCAUCACUGCCGAACAAAUUUCUGUGCAAUGAACCUGCAUGCAUGCACGGUCCUGCAGGUUCAGCUCUUCGGCACUAUAAGUGCCGAAGAGUUUUCUUCUUGUGCGUGUUCGGCACCUUGUGUGCCGAACACGUCAUGCUGGCAGCCACGGGAGCAGAUUACACUGCUCCGUGGCACGGAUCAGCUUGUUCGACACCAUGAGUGUCGAACAAGCUGAAAAACAUCAUGUUCGAUACCUAUAGUGUCGAAUAAUAGGAAGUUUGUACAGCCAUAUCUUUUAGUGUACCAUAGACACAAAGUGAGCAAUUUGAACAAUUUUAGAAUUUCAAUUCAAAUGUGUAUAUAUUUUCUUGUUUUAUUUCUUCCAAAAAUCUGCAAAUGAUGUUUUAUUGUUCUUUUUCUAAACAAAUCAUGUGACCAUAUUGUAAUAAUUUUGUUCAUUUAAUUUGUACAACACAGAAACAAUCUUUUACAAACACAGCACAGAAGAAUGAAGCACAACAUACACCAACCUUAAAACAUGAUGUUACAAAAUGAGCGAUUCACUGCAAGUUCAUGAAUAAAUCUGCUACCUUUUUUUUUUUUUUUCUGAAGGAAGUAAACGUGAACAAAAGCUCAUAAAACAUUGAACAUUUGUUCACACCAUUCAAGCUGAAAAGAAAUUUGAGAAAUGCUAACAGCCAGAAUCCUUCACAAACAGAUGAUUCAAAAGCUGAGAAGCAGUAGGACGCUUUUUUGGAUCAACUUGCAGGCACUUCAUGAUAAAAUCUCGCGCAUUCUCUGACAGAGAAUAAUUAGGAAGAUGAUUUCGAAGUGUCCCUUUUUCAACCUCCAAUUCUAGAUUUGCAUCCCAAUCAUUCACAUGAGAGUAUGGAUAAUUCCCAGUUAACAUCUCCAAGACAGUGCAGCCAAGGCUCCAAAUAUCAGCUUCAACUCCAUACUCUUUGUCCUUUUUCAUAACCUCUGGAGCUAUCCAGUCUAUUGUCCCAUGGCGAGACUUCAAAAGAGGAACUAAUUCUGUCACUUUUGCCAAUCCAAAAUCUGUAAUUUUCACGCAUCCUUUCUCAUCCACUAAUAUAUUUGCACAUUUGAUGUCUCUGUGAACUACCUUUCGCUCAUGGAGAUACUUCAAACCUUCUAGUAUCUGGUUGGUGUAGUAGGAGACUUGGGAGUCUUUCAAUUUAAAACUUUUAUAUACUUGUCGGAGGGAACCUGUGCUUACAAGCUCAAGAAAAAUAUAGACCCCUGACUUAUCCUCCUCAGUACCAUAGUAUUUGACUAUAUUUGGAUGACGUAAUUGACACAAUAAAUUAACUUCUUGCUGAAUUCUGUCAAUUUCUUGCUUAAUUUUGUCUUUGAUUCGUAUUUUCUUUACCGCGAAAAAGAAACCACCAUCUGCAUAUCCCUUGUACACGUUUCCAGAAAUCCCUCCUCCCAGAGUCUUCUUACGGUCCAUUCGCCACUCUGACUUGUUAAUAUUAAGUCCUUGUCUAUUAAUCUGCAAGUUAUUCAAUAUAUUUUCAACAUUAAAAAUUAAUAGAAUUGCAGUAGUACUCCUGGUUAUGCUAAUAAAUCUCACAAGAUUUCUUCUAAAAUAUUUGCAAUACCUGCAGUAAAAUCGUGAAAUUGCUAAAAGGUCAUAGAAAAAAAGUCCAGGAACCUACAUGAUUGCUUUAGAAAGACGACAAAACAAGCAAUUUAUUAACAAAGAAGAUUUCAGCAACUCAUGUAUUGUAUUUGAAAUUAGUCUUCGUAGCUGGAUAAGUACUGAAAACAUAUAGGAAACAACAGUUAUGUUAUGAUAACACUGAAAUUUUUGUAAGCGCGUACCUUCAGGAACUGAGACAUCAGAGGAUCACUCGCAUGUGUUAUCUCUCCAGAAAUAAAUUCAAGAUUUAAUUUUCCCUUUAGCACCAGGUUAAGAUCUUCAAGUUCUAUGCCCUUGAAAGAUAGCAGUUGGACGAUUGAUUUUCCAAAAACACUAUCAAAGCCUUUUCUGAAAAAGGAUAUUUGUUCAGAGAUAGAGUUGACUAAGUCAUUCCGAAUUUGAUCAUCAUCAAGAAAACAUUCCUUGGCCUUCUUAUUGUAAAAAGAAGGAUAUGCAUCUUUUACAUCUCCUAUAGAAAUAUCCUUUUCCGCCAGUUGAAAAAGAAACAUACGGUGAAAGGCAACACCUAUUUGUAGUUCAUGCAUCACUGCCAAUGCAAUCACCUUGCCAGAAAAUUCAAAACAGUCGAAGUGCAAUGGUUCCAGCUUCAGUUCUGCAUAUAUAACAUAUGACCAAAAACGGAAAAAGAAAAACUAUACUUAAAACGGGAUAUUAAUAAAUUUAAGAUAAAAAGGAUUUUUAUGGCAUAUUUCUCGUAUUAAAUGUAUUUUUAUUGGUUUACAUUAUGAUUAAAUUUAAAAAAUUUGCAGUUUUUUUUAAUAUGGAAAAAAUGUAAAAUCUAGAAAAAAAAAUAAUCGGAAUUAGUAGUCUUAGAAUCUAUUUGUACAAAAAUAAAAGAUAGAUUUAAUUUUUCGAGUGAUCUGAUCAUGCGGGGUAGUACAAGAAUAUUCACCUGUUGUCCAUCGACUACGCCCUUCAGCCUGAUCUUAGGCCUUGACUCACUUUUCGUGGACGAACCUUGCGGAGGAACCCUUAUAUCACAUGUUUCGUGAAUUUACAUAUAAUUUAGGUAAAAGUCAGAGAUGACAACUUAUUAGUAAAACUUUUUAUUGUACAUAUUAAUAAAUAUAAAUAAUCUUUUUAUUAUGCAUUUUGCGUCGAAUGUGUACGGUCAAUUUAUGCCAUCAUCUAUUAACUAUCUGUCAUACCCUAAAUACUUUCAUAUCUUAUUGUUUUAAUACCUAAUCGUAUUGUCUCACAUGUACAUAGCUAGCCGAAAGGAAUGAGAAGAAAAACUUAAAAAUCUUAUGCCAAGUCCAAUAUUGUAUGCUACAUGUCGUAAAUUAAUUAUAUGAUGAAGUUGUGACAUAAGGGUUAUAUCAAUCAUUUAUCAAGGGGAAAAAAAAAAUAGGAGAAGCAAUAAUUACGGAUGCUAUUCAUAGGAUCUUACCAGGAUUAGGGUAGAACUUCGUAGGAUCAUUUGGGCACGCCAAGAAAAGCAGAUUUUGCGGUUUGAAUAUAACUUGGCAUAACUUGUAUAACCAAUCCUGCAACUUUUUAGGACUGGUGAGCUUCUUAUUUUUCAAUGCUUCAAACAUCUCUUCGUCCAGAAAUCUAGACCAGUGAAUGAGUGGCUUGUAGAACUCUGCAUCAAGUAAUUUUUCCUCGGGGAUCAUCAUCAUGGUGACUAAGUGCAUCCUGGAUUCAGAAUCAAUCACAUCAUUGUGCUCAAGCAGCCAGUGAUAAUCAUCUUCUCUAGUAGUUGUUUCAAGUAUCAGUCGUAAUGAACUCUGCUGCCUCUUCAAUAAAAGCCGAAACUGCUCCCUUUCACUCUCCCAUAGUUGAGAAAUGCUAUUCAAUUCUUUCAAAAUGUCCAGAUAUAAAUGCGAAACAGAACACAAACAACCACUUGUUUCGAAUAGUUCUGCUGUUAAUAGUAAACCAUGAAGAUGACCCUCCAUGUCUGUAGACAGGUGAUUGAAUGCUUCUUUAGUUGGGACUGAAAACCAUGUCAAUGUUUCUUCAUCGUCACCGUCUAUAUAGCCAAUUGCAUUGCGCACUACACAUGAAAAUGCCUGAAAUUCACCAAAAAGAAAUUUCAAUGAAUCAAUGUGUGAACUUGGAUUUGAUACGCGGAUCUGAACCAAACCCUUGCAUAAUGUGCUUGUCAUCUCAUAAAGGAAAGAACAAAUUGUCAGCACUGUUUCUGGCUCCUCAAAGAGUUUGAUCUUAAAUCUACUUCUUUCCACCAACUGUUUGAGAGAAGUCCGACAUGACUGAUACAGAGGAUCUUCAUUAGUUACUUGAUGUCGAAGUAAUUUACAGAAUUCUAAAGCCAAUAGUCUACAUUCUGGAAGAAAAUCAUCUGGACGAUUCAAUAAAUAAUGCAUGGAAGACAAUAUCAAAGCUCUAGCAUAGGCUUUCUGUUGUUUAAUUCUUGACCUGUAAAACAUAACCAAAGUCGCAGGGACAGAAUACGCAAUCAGAAGAAGCUCUGAUUGCUCGUUUCUUUCAGGUGCCAACAGUGCAAACAUCUUAUGCGCUAGUGGACAGUAAUCUAUCCGCGAGACAGAUUUCUCUCGGUACAUUCGACAAAUGGUCGAACUGAUUUGGUGGAUCAUUUGAAAAAGUUCCGAUUCGCCGUCGAGUUCAACCACCAAUUUGAGCCAAGCUUUGUUUUGAAUUGAGCAGUCUUCAAGCGUCUUAUUCCACUCUAGCUUCUCACCUUUGUAAUAUAAUUUCUGUUGCGUAACUGGAAUUUUGGAGAUCACCAGGAUUUUCUGCUGGAUAAAUUGUACUUCAAAAUUGGAUUUCACAAGAAUUUUUAUAGGUUUACGUUUCGGCAUUCUGACAAAUAAAUGAAAGGAAUUGGAUUCACUAUUCGCCAUCAGCUCUAGAUCACUGUGGUCUGUGGCUCGUAUGCAACCCAAAUUUCUAGUUGACACCUGCAGAGACUCAAAGAAGAUAGAAAACAAAUUAGAGUAAUUCAAAUUUAAGUUGAUUUCUUUUGUUUUUUUAAUUAAUCCUUUGCCUGAGAUCUUUCAUCCGAUUGACUAAGAAUUAUCGGCAAAACCAACGAGAAUGAUAAAAAAGGCCUUCAGUGAGUACUGUUGACUAUUAACUCUUCAGUGAGUACUGUUGACUAUUAAGUUUCCAACAUCCUUUGAGGAAAUAUGCCCUUUUGCCACUACGAACAGUGACAACGUCUGAAGUGAACUCAACUGCCCAAGCCCACGUGGCAUAUGAGUCAAAGAGAAACAACCUUGACAAUACAAAUGCCUAAGAUUCACAAGCUUUUUAAUAUCUUUAGGCAAUUCUUUGAGGUUGUAACAAGAAGAGACAUUUAAUACUUGUAAAUUCAGCAAAUCCGUAAUAGAAUUUGGAAGUGCUAUAAGACUCUCUAUAUUAGAAACAUUAAGAUAUCUUAAAUAUUUUAGCAUUUUUAUAGAGCUAUCCAUCAUAUUUAUUCCACAUGAAUACAUCCUAAAUACACGCAAAAAUUUUAAAUUAUGCAAAAAUUUUAAAUUUUUAUGAAUAAAUAGCCAAUCAUGAUCAUGUUUCCUAAGCAGACCAUGAUCAUGUUUCCUAUUCAGAAAUAACGAUCGUAUUCUUUUUGCGUUAUUAAGAAUUUCUUGUGGUGCAACAUCAAAAUUCAACGCUACAUGAUGGGUUUUCUCAUCAAUAUUUGGUGCAUCAGAAUUUAUCAGCUGAAUUCUCUUUCCACCCACUGUGGUUGCGAGAUCGUGCAUUAAAUCAUGCAUUUUACAGCUUUCAACAUUUCCACAUCUAUCUCUUUCCACCUCUUGAAAAAAUGACCUCCACCACAGUUUCAUAAAAUAUUCAAGCCCAAUAUCUUCAAGACAAUCACUCGUACUUGGUGACUCAAUAAACCCUUGUGCAAUCCAAAGAUGGAUUAAUAUUUUCACAUUAAUCACAGAAUCUUUUAGAUAUAUUGCGCAAUAUGCAAAACAAUGCUUCAAAUGUGAUGGGAGAUGAUCAUAACUUAGCUUCAGUGUUGGCAUAAUAUCAUUACCAUCUUGACUUAUUCUUGAGAGUUCUUUUGUUAAAAAGGGCAGCCACUCAGUUUGUGGAUUUUUCGCAUACAAGAGACUUGCAAUAGUUUUUAUUGCAAGAGGAACUCCACGACAUUUCUUCAAAAUCUCCUUUCCCAUCUCUCUUACAUUUGCAUGUUUUGGCUCCUGCCCCUCAAGUGCUACAUGCAAAAACAAAGACCAAGACUCAUCCGGAGACAACCCUUCCAAAACAUGUGGUGCCAUUGUGCUAGACAUAUCUGCCACCUUUUUAGAGCGAGUGGUUAUUAAUAUCUUACUUCCACUAGAGCCACCCACUAAUAAUCUCUUUAAAUUCUCCCAUUUUUCUCUAUUCUCAUUCCACACAUCAUCUAGAACAAGCAGAUAUUUCUUCCCACUAAUAAUUUUUUCCAGUCUAGACUUCAAUGCUUCUAACCCAAGAUCUUCCGAUCUAUUCCCUGUUGCAGACUCUAGAAUCUUUCCAACAGUCAUUUUCACAUCAAAAGGUUCUGAAACACACACCCAUAUUCUUGGCUCAAAUGAAUUCUUAAUCAAUUCAUCAUUGAAUAUGAUUUGAGCAAGAGUGGUCUUCCCUAAUCCUCCAAUUCCAACAAUUGAGAGGACUGAAACACACUCUUCACCAUUGGAAGACAAUACAAGUUCUGUAAUUGCCUUUUUGUCACCCUCUCUCCCAAUAAUCACUUCAGGUAAAGAGGACGUAGUUUGAUCCCUCCAUACAAUACUCUCCUGAUCAGUACGAACCUCUAAAUUAAAUUUUCUGUCAGCUUCAAUAUCAGCUAGCCUCUCCCUAAUCGCCUUAACUUUAUGACCCAUUUUAAAACCAUAAACAAGUUGAUUUGAAGACGAAAAGAAGAGACUUACCUCCUUUGUCAUUCUAUUUCCAGUCAUCACUCGGCGCCUUAGAGCUUCUGUGGCGAAGUCAUCUACCAAGUCAUCAGCAUCAUAAACAACUUCUUCUAGCCUCUCAAGCCAGCCUUUCACUUGACGGUUAAGUUUCUGCUGCUCCUCAGCAUCCAGAAGAACGUUGCGAAUACUAGAAACUGUGGCCUCAAGUUUCUUAAGCUCACCUUUGACGCCCCACCACAAUCCGAUCUCAUGAAGGGCUCGAGAACCCAGCUUGGUAAUGAUAUCUCUGACAACGUUAGAGAGAACUCCGUCGGCCAUUUUGGGUGUUUUGGUUUGGUUGUAAAAGGAUGAAAUGUUGCUGUGAAGAAGAAGAUACCGACAACAAAUGACUAAUUUAAAGAAAAAAAGAAGCGGAGGAAAAAGCAUCUUCUAAAUGAUUAUGUUCGGUCGGUCAGCUUUUUGGAGGGCCCCGGUUUGCUUUAAUUUAAAAAGUAAAAUAUAUUAACAAAUUUAUAUAUAGAAUGAAAGUAAGUUAUUUUUUUAAAAGUAAUUUUAUUUAUUUAUUAAAAAAUAUUUUUAAUUAAUUAAAUUUUAUGAGCGACUCAAACGUUAAAAAAUAUAUAAUAUAUUUUUAAUAUUGCUGAGUUUAGAUUAAUAUCGUAGUUAAAAUAAAAAUUAUGCUGUGAUUGAUAUAGAAGUUUUCUGGGUCAAGUGUCAACUCUCAGUCCUUAAACUCUGCAGCAUCUGUUUCUACUUAGUUUUCUAGAUGUGCUAUAAUUAAUCUAGCUUUCUAUGACGUGUUUGGUUCCGUGUUUUCCUUCCAUUAUGUUUCAUUGCAAACUUCUUGGUGGGUAUUCUAGUCAAAAUUAUCCUUGCUUCUCCUUCUCCAUGCAUGAUUUACUUCUCCAUGCAUGAUUUAAUUAUAUGUAAUUAUAUCAAGUAAUAUUUUUAAGUUUAUAAUAAAUUUUUUAUUUUAAAAUUAAAAAUAGUAUAUAUUAGCUCCAUGCAUGAUUUAAUUAUAUGUAAUUAUAUCAAGUAAUAUUUUUAAGUUUAUAAUAAAUUUUUUAUUUUAAAAUUAAAAAUAGUAUAUAUUAGUUAGAUUUAUGAUUCUCCUUUAUUAUUAUUAUUUUUUAUUUUAUAAUAAUAAAUUACAUAUUUAAUUAAUAAUUUUUUAUAUUAUUUUGAAUCAUAGAAAAUAAAAUAUUAUGAUAGAUUAUCAAUUAAUAAUUUAAAAUUUAAAAUUUAAAAUCUAAAAAUAAAAAUAUAUAUUAAUAAGUUUAUAUUAUUCUAUAUAACCGUAAUAUAAAAUAUUUUAAUACUCCCACAGUGUGCAGCUAAACCGCUGGUUAAAAAGUAUUUUUGAAUCCUUCCUCUGUCUUAAUCUCAGUCUUCUGGCAACGACAAAGCAGCAGCUUCCUACCAAUUCCUUCAAACCCAAAUCCUUCAAAUGCGGGUCUUAUUAAUUCAGCUCUUUAGCCUCUGUUUUUGCAGUGUCGUCAUCUGGGUUUCUACCGCCUCCAAAUCCAGCUUUUCUACCUUCUGGGUCUGCCGGUAUUUUGCUUGAAUCGGCUUUUUGCUUCCGAGGUAUUGGUGGCAGCUUCGUCAUAGUAGCUAGUGGUUCCGCUUUUUAUUUUAUUUUAUUUUGGAUAUCUUUUUGUAGACCAUAUUGUGAUCUUAUGUGAGAAUGUUAAAUAAUUUACCAGUAGCUAUCCAAAUUUUAAGCAGGGGACUGUGACUUGCUGUAAAUUACCUAGCCUUCAGCAUAUUUUUCAAAAAAAAAAAAAAAUCUUUAGCUUCUACAUUUGCAAAUUCCUUGCUUUUCCAUCUUUUUGCUUGCAAAGAUCACACCUUUGUUAGAACUAAUUCAAAGAAAAAAUGAGUGGAGAAGGAAAGGUGGUCUGUGUCACAGGAGGGUCUGGUUACCUAGCAUCCUGGCUAAUCAAAUUCUUGCUUCAAAGAGCCUACACUGUCAAAGCCACUGUUCGUAACCCAAGUAAAUCCCUCCCUAUCUGUCUCUUUGUUGCCUACAAGCUCAGUUGGGUCAUUGAUGAACCUUAAUUUUUUUGAAUGAGCUUCAGCUUUUUAUUUCUGGGUUCUGGGUUUGUUUUUAUACCGACUUUUGUUGUGACUGGGGAUCUAAUCUUUAUGUUUUACUUAUUGUUUUGACUUCAUUUUAUUCAAUUUCAUGGGGUAUUUACUAGCUUAUAGCAUUUUUUGAUGUGGUGUUGUUGAUUACUGAUAAUUUUAUAUCCUGCAAUUUGCUUGUUAAGAAUGAAUUGAAUCAGCCCUCACUUCGAUUGAGUAGCUAAAUGACUUAACUUUUUUCGUCUAUCAUUAUUUUGAACACAAACCAAGGACGAGGGAAAGAAAGCAAGGUUGAUAAUGUACUAGCAUUUGAGUAAAAUUUUACUAAACUGAUGUGAAAUCUUAAAUUAGUUUUCUUGAUUUAGUGUUUCUUUAACUUCCACUGUUCUCAUUGGACUCAUGCUUUCAGCUCUUUGAAUCUGUAUUCUGUACCCAGAUGAUCUGAAGAAAACUGCAUACUUGCUUGCACUUGAGGGAGCAAAGGAAAGGCUUCAAUUGCUCAAAGCUGAUUUAUUAGAAGGAGGAUCUUUUGAUGCUGCAGUUGAUGGGUGUGAAGCUGUUUUCCACACAGCUUCCCCUGUAUCUCUUCAAGCCAAUGCGGAUCCUCAGGUCCAUCAUCUUUGACAACCUUUUCACUGCCUUUAUAUGUCGAUAGAGUUCCUCUGUUUAGCACCUAAACUGCAAUUUCUGAUUGUUCUGUUGUCAUUUGGCAUUACAUUUUCUCGUAUGUCUCUAUAAUAGCUCGUGCACUAUCUGUGUCAUUUGAUUAUGUUGACAUAACUACUGCUUGAUAGGUUUAGUGUCAUAUAAGAUGUAACUGUUCGUUGUUGGCUAUUUCGAUGGUUCAGGUAGAACUAGUUGAUCCUGCAGUGAAGGGAACACUUAAUGUUCUUAGAUCUUAUGCAAAAGUUCCUUCUAUCAAGAAAGUGAUUAUAACAUCUUCAUUUGCUUCUCUUCCAUAUAAUGGAAAAAAUUCUGGCCCCUGAUGUAGUUGUUGAUGAGACUUGGUUUUCUGAUCCAGCUGUUUGUGCGGAACGGAAGGUUUGUCUUCUAUUAUAAUGCUACUCAUUAUCUUAUGACCCUGAAAUUAGUUGCUUAACCCUCCGUUUGGAAUCAAGAAUUUGGCAAGAACAAUUUAAUUGAUUUCUUUUCUAACAAUUCUUUGGUUUAGAAUGAGUAAAUUCAAUUUUUUUAACUUGAAAAAUUGUCAUUUUAAAAGAAGUAUAAUUCUUGCGUGAUUUUGCAAGAAUUCUUUGAAAUUCUCUUCUUGCAAAAUGAACCAUGCCAAGCAAGGGAUAAAAGGAGAUGAAAAUGUAGAAUAAUAAUAUUUGUUGUUGUAUUUCAUAAUAAAAAUUACAAUCUAUUUAUAUAUAAAAGAUAAUAUCUAAACAGGAAAGGAAAUCAAGUCUAUGAUUGUAGAAUCCUAAGAUUAAGCAACUAACCCAUCUAUCAAUAUUUAAUUGCUAUAUUAAUAUAUUUACUUCCUAUAAUCUAUAACACUCCCCCUCAAGUUAGAAUGUAAAUGUUAAUCAUGUCCAACUUGUUACAUAUAUAAUCAACUCGUCCCAUACAACUUAGUAGACAUCGAAUUUGUGAACCCAACUUUUUCCAAUAGUCGACGUACCUAUAAAACUUCACAAACAGUUUUUGCCAUUACUCGACAUUCAGGUUCAGCACUAGAAUGGGAGAUUACAUUUUCUCAGCUUGGUAAAACACUUUACACACAUCAUAAAUACGAGAAAUAUUCCCUUUGCCAGAAUAUAGAAAUUCCAAAUAUUCCAUUAAUUAUUUAACAAAUUCAGAGUGAUUAAUAAGACUAAUCACUCAACUGUGAAUAGAAUUUUGAAUCUGUGAAUAGUAUUCGUGAACAAUAUCCGAUGAACAGUACUCGUGAACAGUACCGAUAAAUAAUUCCCGUGAACAGUGCCCGAUGAACAGAGUCCUAAAUCUCCAAAUGUUACCCUUUAUGAGUAACUCGAUGAAUAAUUCCCGUGAACAGUACCGAUGAAUAGAGCCCUAAGUCUCCGAAUGUUACCCUUUAUGGAUAACCCAAAUGAACAGAGUCCUAAAUCUCUAAAUAUUACCCUUUAUGAGUAACCCAAAUGAACAAAACCCUAAAUCUCUAAAUGUUACCCUUUAUGAAUAACCCAAAUGAAUAUAGCUCUAAGUCUCCAAACGUUACUCUGUAUGAGUAACCCAAGUGAACAGAACCCUAAAUCUCUAAACGUUACCCUUUAUGAGUAAUUCAAAUGAAUAGAGCCCUAAGUCUCCAAAUGUUACCCUUAUGAGUAACCUAAAUAAACAGAACCCUAAGUUUCUAAACGUUACCCUUUAUGAGUAACCCAAAUGAACAGAGCCCUAAGUUUCCAAAUGUUACCCUCUUAUGGUUAACCCAAAUAAACAGAGUCCUAAGUCUCUAAAAGUUACUCUUUAUGGUAACCCAAAUGAAUAGUAUCAAAAAGACACCUCCACCCAACACCCAAACGGUAAACGAACCACAAAUCUGACAAGAGAGCUGCAAGACGACUUUGGCAUCCUCUUUAGGUGAACGGUGAGAGACAAAUAUUAUCCUAAAUGGAUAACACAAAAAAACAGGAGUCCUGAAUCUCUAAAAAUUUAAAACUUGACGAGAGAGAAAAAAUAUAAUUCUCUACAAACAUGGCUCUGAUACCAUGUAGAAACAUAAUAUUUAUUGUUGUAUUUCAUAAUAAAAAUUACAACCUAUUUAUAUAUAAAAGAUGGUAUCUAAACAGGAAGGAAAAUCAAGUAUAUGAUUAUAGAACCCCUAAGAUUAAGCAACUAACCCAUCUAUCAAUAUUUACUUGCUAUAUUAAUAUAUUUACUUCCUAUAAUCUAUAACAGAAAAAAAGGAUAAAUGACCAUCAUGGUUUGUCCUUGAGCACAUCAAUCUUGAUUACUUCUAAUUUAGCCAUCCCCAUUGGAUGCUUGUGAUGAUACAAUGAAAUUUAUCAACUUGAUUUUAUAUCUUAAACUGUUUUGUUUAUGAGAUAAUUUGGUCUUUUGUUUCUCCAGCUUUGGUAUCAACUUGGGAAAACGUUAGCUCAGCAGGCUGCUUGGGAGUUUGCAAAAAACAACAGGAUGAAUUUGGUUACAAUACAUCCGGUGUUUGUCCUUGGUCCUCUUUUGCAGCCAACUAUUAAUAACUCUAUCGAGAUACUUUCCAACCUCAUAAANNNNNNNNNNNNNNNNNNNNNNNNNNNNNNNNNNNNNNNNNNNNNNNNNNNNNNNNNNNNNNNNNNNNNNNNNNNNNNNNNNNNNNNNNNNNNNNNNNNNNNNNNNNNNNNNNNNNNNNNNNNNNNNNNNNNNNNNNNNNNNNNNNNNNNNNNNNNNNNNNNNNNNNNNNNNNNNNNNNNNNNNNNNNNNNNNNNNNNNNNNNNNNNNNNNNNNNNNNNNNNNNNNNNNNNNNNNNNNNNNNNNNNNNNNNNNNNNNNNNNNNNNNNNNNNNNNNNNNNNNNNNNNNNNNNNNNNNNNNNNNNNNNNNNNNNNNNNNNNNNNNNNNNNNNNNNNNNNNNNNNNNNNNNNNNNNNNNNNNNNNNNNNNNNNNNNNNNNNNNNNNNNNNNNNNNNNNNNNNNNNNNNNNNNNNNNNNNNNNNNNNNNNNNNNNNNNNNNNNNNNNNNNNNNNNNNNNNNNNNNNNNNNNNNNNNNNNNNNNNNNNNNNNNNNNNNNNNNNNNNNNNNNNNNNNNNNNNNNNNNNNNNNNNNNNNNNNNNNNNNNNNNNNNNNNNNNNNNNNNNNNNNNNNNNNNNNNNNNNNNNNNNNNNNNNNNNNNNNNNNNNNNNNNNNNNNNNNNNNNNNNNNNNNNNNNNNNNNNNNNNNNNNNNNNNNNNNNNNNNNNNNNNNNNNNNNNNNNNNNNNNNNNNNNNNNNNNNNNNNNNNNNNNNNNNNNNNNNNNNNNNNNNNNNNNNNNNNNNNNNNNNNNNNNNNNNNNNNNNNNNNNNNNNNNNNNNNNNNNNNNNNNNNNNNNNNNNNNNNNNNNNNNNNNNNNNNNNNNNNNNNNNNNNNNNNNNNNNNNNNNNNNNNNNNNNNNNNNNNNNNNNNNNNNNNNNNNNNNNNNNNNNNNNNNNNNNNNNNNNNNNNNNNNNNNNNNNNNNNNNNNNNNNNNNNNNNNNNNNNNNNNNNNNNNNNNNNNNNNNNNNNNNNNNNNNNNNNNNNNNNNNNNNNNNNNNNNNNNNNNNNNNNNNNNNNNNNNNNNNNNNNNNNNNNNNNNNNNNNNNNNNNNNNNNNNNNNNNNNNNNNNNNNNNNNNNNNNNNNNNNNNNNNNNNNNNNNNNNNNNNNNNNNNNNNNNNNNNNNNNNNNNNNNNNNNNNNNNNNNNNNNNNNNNNNNNNNNNNNNNNNNNNNNNNNNNNNNNNNNNNNNNNNNNNNNNNNNNNNNNNNNNNNNNNNNNNNNNNNNNNNNNNNNNNNNNNNNNNNNNNNNNNNNNNNNNNNNNNNNNNNNNNNNNNNNNNNNNNNNNNNNNNNNNNNNNNNNNNNNNUAUCACGAAUAUCAUGUAUUUAUAUGAUUAGAAUGCUUUGCAUUAGAAUUCACGAAUAUGAUGCAUUGUAUAAUUUAUUAUUGUUGUUGAUAAAUGUUGGAUGACCUACUAGCUCUCGAGUAUGUUACGACGGAUAUGAAAAGACUAGAGCUUGCCUAUUCUACGCUCUUGGCACUGUAUAAGAGAAAGACCAGGGUUGCCCAUUCUACGCUCUUGGCACUAUGGAUGUAUUAUCUUAUGUUUAAGAGGAAGUUCUGAAGAGCACUCGUUGUGAGCCAGUCACUAUUGGAAUCUAUAGAGGAUCACUGGUGACAAGUCCAUCUUGAUAUAAAUUGUUUGUAUUGUGACGCAUUUAUAUGAUCAUAUGUCUUAUUAAACUGCUCUUUAUGUUUUUGCUCACUAGACUUUUGUAGUUUAUCCUUUUUCCUUAACUCCAGAUUUGCAAGAUCAGAGUUAGCUCAGGAGGUGGGCCGAGUUAUUGGUAUAGGCCAAUGUAAUAGCAUAGCAAUGGACAUGUAUUAAUUUGCAGAUUUAAAUUGUGUUUUGCCUGAGUUUUCUUUAUAAUCCUUACUUUAUAAUUUUUUUAUGUAAAAAUUUUUAAGUAUAAGUUAUGUUUGAACUAAGCUUGAGGCAUGUAAUGUUGAUCAUACUGAAGCAUUUGAUGAGGAUUCUAGUAUGAAUUUAUGUUUACAGUUAUGAUACAUGUGUAGGUCAAGUUUUGGUUAUUGAAACAGAAGUGUUUUUAUAUGCUAUGCUUGUGUGAUUAUGUAUGGAAUUAUAUCAGGUGUAACAAGAUGUCUAGUAGGUUUGCUAUGAGUUUCGGCGAUCUUAAGUUGAUUUAAACUCUAGCGCCGAUAGUGGUCCAGUUUCCAGAUCGUUACAGAAAUUUUUGGAUAGCAGGAGCUCAAGAGUAUCCUGAUGCAUACUAUAGAUCCAUCGAUGUAAGAGAUGUUGCGUAUGCACACAUUCAAGCUUUGGAGAUUCCUUCAGCUAGUGGCAGAUAUUGUUUAAUUGAAAGAGAUGUCCACUUCUCUAAGGUUCUGAAGAUUGUGCAGCAACAUUAUCCUACAUUGCACCUUCCAAAAAAGUAUGGUUUUUGUAUAUUUUUGCAUGCUCAUGUUGGACCAGCUAUAUGAAUGGCUAAGAUCUAUAAUAUUUUGGAUAACUGAGAAAUAGUUGUUUUGAAUGAUUAAUUUGAUCAUGGAAUAUCAUCUGAGUUGCAGAUGUGGAUCCGGAUUGAAUUACUUAACAAAGUAUGGGGUAUCAAAGGAAAAGUAAAAACUUUGGGUAUUGACUUCAUUCCUUUGGAGGUUAGUUUGAAGGACACUAUUGAAAGCUUGAAGGAGAAGAGCUUCCUCAGUAUUUGAUUUUGGCUGUCGGAUAAAAAGCAAUGCAAAUAUUACAUUGGCCUUUCAGGUUCAUUGGCUUUAGCUUCCUAUUGGUGCAAGAUAUUAUUGCCCUUCAGGAUUGUCUUUAUUUGAAAAAAGUGGACCAAUACAAUUUGUAAAAUUUAUAACAAUUUGUAUACAACUAUAUAUAAACAUAUUACAUGCGUCACUUGUUUCACUGGUAGAUGAAGUUCAUUUCAGGUCUGAUUUCUGAGGAAGUUGCUCUUUUUUUUAUCUGAUUUCAUGUCUCAUUCCAAAGAAGACACAAGAAAAAAAAAAGUGUAAUCCACCAAUUCAGAUUUAUUUCAGUCUUUUCAAAGUAUAUUCAGAUUUCAUAGCCAAUUCAUUUAAUGCUGUAUCUGAUUUCUGGUUCUUGUGAUACGCUCUUACAAAAUUCAUCUAAAAUUCAGUGCUCUUACACAUUCUGGAAACACAAUUUAUACAAAAACUGAUUUCGCAGGGAAAAAAGGGAAAAUAAUGUUAUUUGCAUUGAAUGAGCAAAUGAUUAGCAUAGUAGCAAAACUACUUAAAAUAAGAGAAAUUAGAAACAAAAAAGCAGCACAGCAUGAGUCGGGGCAUUGCAUGUUGGAUGAUCGAAACAGAGGUCUUGAGCGAGAAUCUGGAUCCUGAAAUACGCAGGCCUGCAAAAAGUCAUUCGAAUAAGUGUGCAAAACUCCCAUCAUUCAGCUUUCAUUUCUACUUCCGCUCAGCAGGAUUACUAUGUACUGAGUUGUUUUCUGAACUGUGAC
rnacentral:lncRNA from 1 species